CUUGUUUCUUACAUACAAACAUCUAAUGAUCAAAAGAUAGAUUUCAAAGAGAUUUUAGACCCUCGCCUCGCUUCGCCUCCAAAGAACAUUUUGAAGGAGUUGGCAUUGUUUGCUAAUUUAGCUCUUUCUUGUUUACACACAAAUCCUCAAUCUAGACCAACCAUGAGAAGCAUUGCCCAGUUGCUAGAAAUGGAGACUGCAUUUAACACUUGAUUCAAGUUCGUUACUAACCUCUCCUGCCCUUUUUUAUAAAAAACAACUUAAUUUUUAGAUUUAUUAAAUAACUGAUGUAUUUGGUCUAUAAUCGAAAUACAUUUGUCAUUUAAUGAACCUAAAAAGUAAAUUGUUUCUUAUAAAAAGAACUCAAAGUAGUACUUUCUUUUGGUCCAUUUGGUUUGUGUAUAGAUAUUGUGUAUAUCAUAGUGCUUGUUAUUGUCCCACAACUCUCACAGAAUGUUUCGCAAAAAAUAUUUAUUUGUGAUAUAUAAUUUAUCCUAUUUAAAUAAGUGUCCUUCUAGUUCUAAUAUAGACCCAAUCUUUCUUUUUUUUUUUCCUUUUGUUUUAUUUUAAUUUAUAUAAGGUGUUGCAGUGGUUUAUCAUUUGCACCCUUUUGCUUUAAAAAAAAAUAUUGUACCUUAGAGAUAAAGAUAUCAUACAUACAUAUAUAUAUAUAUAUAUAUAUAUAUACAUAUAUAUAUAUNNNNNNNNNNNNNNNNNNNNNNNNNNNAUAUAUAUAUAUAUAUAUAUAUAUAUAUAUAUAUAUAUAUAUAUAUAUUACAGAUUUUUACGUAUUUUUUAGUUAAUUGCACAUUGAUCCAAUGCAUUAAUAUACUUUAUGUUUCCAAUUUGUCUCCAUAUUUUCAAGGUAGAGAUCUCCCCUGGAUAAUCAAAAGUAAAAACGAUUGUUGAUGAUUCAGCAAUGCUAUGUCCCGAAAAAAAAAAUUAACGAAAAAAUCACGAACAUUCUUUUUCUAUUGUUGAGAACAUGGCAUGCAUUUUUUGGUGGGGAAGUAAUACUGAUAAGAGGAAAUUCCAUUGAAUAAAUUGGAAGAAAAAAAAUUGCAAGAAUAAAGAUCAAGGAGAGUUAGGUUUCAUAAGUGUUUAUGCUUUCAAUGAAGCCCUCUUGGCCACAAGGAUGGAGAUUGGCUACUCAACUUGACACCCUUUUAGCAAGAGUGUUAAAAGCUAAAUACUACCCUAAGUGCCAUGUAAUGGAAGCUAAAUGGGCAACAUGGUGAGCUAUACUUGGAGAGUAUUCUUCAUGCUUGUUGGAUCCUUCAAAGAGGGUGUUAUUGGAAUAUUGGGAGUGGUGAACAAGUAAAUAUGGGACCAUAACUGGCUCAUAUCCUUAUUAUUCUCUCCGAUCCUAUAUAUAAAAUAAAAGAAUGUUAACUUUUUAGAUUCAUUAAGAAUCUAAUGUAUCUAGACCAUAUUAUGAAUCAAAUACAUUAGAUUUUUAAUGAAUUUAAAAAGUCAACUUUCUUUUAUAUAUAGGACCGGAAGGAGUAUUAUACCUUCACCCUAUACAAAACAUUCAAUAUUCCAAUCUUAUCACUUUCAUCAUUUAAUUUUUCACCCUCAAAGACAAUUUCUCUGACCAAUCACCCCCACAUGACAUUUUCCGGAACACUUCAAAUAGUAUAAUGUUUGGUUUGUUAAAAACCAAAAACCAAAAAAAAGGAACACGUAACAAAGCAAUCCUCAUUAGACCAAAAUCAAACAUAGCAUCUACACUAAAAAGUAAAAACUCAAAACUACCACCACACAAUACUCUCACCUCCAUAUAUACAAGCAAAGACAAUAAAUUUCAUGCGAUUAAAGAGGCCCAAAAUCUAAACACAUUGAAAAUCACAACCUUGUUGUUUGAAAAUAUCAAUAUAUUACUUCUUAUUUACUCCUCCGAUUCAAUAUAUAAGAAAAUUUUGACUCCUCCAACCCAAGCUCAAAAUUUUAGGCCCCCAAAAUUUUUCCCUCUAAUAUAGACCCCAAAAAAGAAUAUAGGCCUCAAAAUAUAAUAAUAUAUUCGGUUAGUUCCAACAACUAUAACAUGUUGAGCCAAUGGGCUAGUGGUAUCAGGGCUGUUUGUUUACUGAGUGUUAAUCUUAACUAGACUCCGACCCGUGCGUUGCACGGGUUUUCGCAGAGGGUCUGAUUCACAUGCAUACUGUUAUAAAAAAAUUACCAACAUAUCAUUAUCAUUAUUAGUCUACAUUGACAUAAAACUUAUUUAUAAAUAAUAAAAAAUAUAUGAAUUUUCUAGUCAUUGUUUAUUCAAUAAUGAUAAUCAAUAGUUCUAAGACAUAUUUUUAAGAAUUCAAAUAAAAGGAAAGCAACACACCAAAAGAGAACAAAAUGAUAAGAUAAUUAACGGGUUCCUCUUCACCGACAACUUAGAAACAUUAUUAGGAUAGGAUAAUCCAUUGCUUUUGCAUUAAAGGCUUCAUGCUUCUACAAAUCUACAAAGAAAAGGAGGGUAAUUGAACAGCAGAAAGAGAAGAAAAAAUAUUAGUUCAAGCAAUUUUUUUAGAAAAACUAUUUAGUCCAAAAACACAAUAAACUUGAAUCAUCAAAAAAUAAAAGAUUAGUUCAGAGCAAAAACAAAAAUAGAAUCACAAAAUAUUCACCUCUGGCAUCAGAAAGGUUGUUGUUAAACUCCGAUUUAGUAUAUUAUAUGUAGAUAUUUUUUGUGUUAAUUUAGAGUAUUUAUUAUUAUAUAAAUAACUCACUUGAUUUGCUCUAUAUUAUACAAAAGAGAAGAAAAGAUAAAAAGAUGGAAAUCUAAUUUUUGAAUCACUUAAAAUAAUAUGAUAUACAUUAUAUAUUAUUUAUAAUUAUUAUUAUUAUUAUUAUUAUCAUCAUUAAUAAUAUGAAAUUAUAUACUUCUCAUCAUUUUGUCUCAUUAAGCAAAUGUCUAGAAGCCCAAAACACAAGAACCACAUGUUGGCCCAUUAAAAGGAAAGGAGACAUACAUGCAUUGGAAAAAAGCUGGCAUCCAAACAAGUUAAUGAGGCAGCAAUUAAAAGAACAGAAUGCAGAACACUGAAGGAGAAUUUUGGGGAUUAAGAGGCGGCAUUUGGAACUUCACAAAGUGUAUAAAUAUAGCUUCUUGGUUCAAGACUUGGGAGCAGGCUGUACAGAGACUGAUCGACCUAUGAAUGUUUAUAAUCAAUUGAUUGAUCAGCGAUUGUACUGCAGUUGAUUGGUGGACCUAUAGGAUAAAUGAGACUAAUUAGAUUAUUGCAUGACCAAACCUUAAUUUUAGUCUUCUAAUCAUUCAACAUUUUUGUGCUUUAUGCUUUUCUUGAAUUUAAACUCUUUGCAUGACCAAAUAAGGGGUUAAUUUAAGAAAAAGAAUAUUAAUCACGAAUGACCAAACGGGUUAAUAAUUUUAGUAAAGAGAUUGAUAAUUGAGUUAAAAUGAUGAAAUUCAAGAGGAACUAGACAUAAGAAUCAAUGAUUGCCGGUGAAACCAUGACCCUAGACCUCUCUAUUUUAAUCACAACUUUUAUUUUAGUUUGUAUUUGUUCUUAUUUUCUAUUUACUUCUUUUAGUUACCGAAAACAACUCAACUCUUUCUCCGUCUAAAUAAUAAAUAAUCUUAACUAGUUUGGUAAUUGUUAAUUAAUCCCUGCUGUGAAAACGAUAAUCUUUUAUACUAGGUGUGUUUUUAACGCAACAAGUUUUUGGCUCCGUUGUCGGGGAUUAAUUUAACGAUAUUAGACUAAAAAGAUUUUUUUUAUUAAUUUAGACAUUGUACAGUUUUUGUCAGUUUAUUUUAUUAUUUUCCAUUGUUAAUAUCACUUGUGCGUACUCACCUUGCUCUCAAUAGCCUGUUUGUAGUUGAUUGUAUUUUGCAGGAAAAGAAAAAGUCAUGGUUGAGAGGAAAACAAUGAGAGAUUACAUCAUAGAAGCUAAAUUGGAUGCUAUAAUAGCUAAAUUGGAAAUUCUUUAAUGGAAAUUUGGGAUAUAUACAUUUGUUCCUUGUGAACAUUGUGAUUUAGUUGGACAUGAAAGUGAAGAAUGUCCGACAAGAAGUAUAUGGGAUGAUGGUGAAAUUGUCCAUAAUGGGCAGCGAUAUGAUCCUCACCCUCCCAAGCGGGACAUUAACUAUAUACCACCUUGCUUACGACGUCGGUCGCCAAAACCAAUGGAGGAGCAACAUGAUCCUCACCCUUUCAAGAGGGACAUUAAUUACAUACCGUCUUGCUUGAGACGUCGGUGUCCAGAACAAGCGGAAGAGCCAUAUGUUCAUACAAUAUUUUUAAUCAUUCUCACCUCAUUUGUCAAUAUCAUAUCAAUACUUACUGUUUUAAAAUAAAACGUUAAACUCAAAUCAUUUACAUCAUACUCUACUUAAUAAGUUCGAUAUUUAAUUUGUAAUUCAUUGAUGUAUUUGUCUUAAUUAGUUAUGGGAUUUGUAUUUUUUUUAAUAUAAUAGACCACAUGAAAAAGAGAGGGAAAAAAUAGGUUUCGAGUUAGCGUUCGGAGCAAGCUUAGAAUAUAAGAGACAUGCGAUUCCUAAUUUUAUUAAAAAAACAUGGUUAACAUAUGUUAAAAAGUUUUAUUGUAAGCAAGAGAUGCAGGUUCGAUUGUCAAGCUAGACAAAUUUGUAAUUUUUUAAUAUAAUGGACCACAUGAAAAAAAAAAAAGGAAAAAAAUAGGUGUAGAGUAAGCCUUUCGGAGCAAGAUUAGAAAUAUAGAGAUACCAUUAUACCCUUAGUUCAUUUAGUUGAUUAAAAAAAAAUUGUUUACAUAUGAAAUUUGGAAGAAACAUGAAAUUAUACAUGGAACAAAAUUGAAAUAAGAUCGAUUAAUACUUGAUAGGCUAAGCUGUCGGAGAUAAUCCUCAAUAUCGAAAAAUGAUUUACGGUAUCAUAUGAAGCCAAUAAGAAUGAUGAAUUUACAAAUGGAUAUGACAAGUUAAUUAAUUAGACAAAUAUUAUCUUGUCAUAUGUAUACCCUAACACACUACAAAGCAAGAACGAAAUAUCUAAUUCACAUGGCAUCAAAUCAUGAAAAUUCUAUGCUAUAUAUUUGUAAUGACGGUGCCCACCGACUCAAGUACAUUUGUAACGUACACGUACAAAUACAGUUGAGAAUCUUUUCUCUUUUUAAUAAGGAACCUUCUCUCUUUUUACUUUUUUUUUUAAGAAACGUUGUAGGUAUCGAAUAAAUUUUGUUUUCUACGAUGUUUCGUAGAUAAAAGGUUAUUUUAGAUAAUUUGUGUAGAAGACAAAAAAAAUUCUCGUGUUCUCUGGGGGGAUAAGAAUUUCAAUUUUUGUUCUGUCCCUUAGCCCCCAGUUUGCCGAAUACCAGAAACAGUUUUAAAAUCAAACACCAGUUUGCCCAAUACCAGAAACAGUUUUAAAAUCUGAUCUAGGAGGAUUUCUUCAGUAUUUUAUUAUUUUAGUUAGUUUUAUUAUAUUUUAGGUGAAUUUCUUAUUUUUUUAUAUUUCACUUAGAUUAGUUAUUUUUAUAUUUUAGAUAGAUUUGUUAUUGUUUCUAUUGUUGUUGUUGUCGCCGUUUCUGUUAUUGUUUCUGUUGUUGUUGUUUCGGUUGUUGUCGCCGUUUCUGUCGUUGUUAGCGACGUCGUCCACCUUAGUCGUCAACGUCGUCAACUGAUCUGACAGAGAUUUGACAUUGUGGCUAAACCGUCAAAUUCUGCCCUCGUCACCGGUUGAUCUCCCAUGGCUGAUCAAUUCACGAAAGAACAAGGGAAACCUGCUCUGAUACCAACUGACGCAGUACGGAAGCNNNNNNNNNNNNNNNNNNNNNNNNNNNNNNNNNNNNNNNNNNNNNNNNNNNNNNNNNNNNNNNNNNNNNNNNNNNNNNNNNNNNNNNNNNNNNNNNAAAUAUAAAAAUAAGAAAUCUACCUAAAAUAUAAUAAAACUAAAUCUAACUAAAAUAAUAAAAUACUGAAGAAAUCCUCCCACAUCAAAAUCAAACACAGUGCAACAGAAGUUGUCCUGUCAGUCUCUUAUUUUUAGCAAUCCAUCAGAUGAGCUAUAGCACAAUACAAAUACAAGAGUGAAAUGCCAAAUACCCCCUUGAAAUUUCAAUAUUCGUCAAAUACCCCGUUGAAAUUUGAAAAUAGGCAAAUACCCACUGAAAUUGUAAAACGUCAAUCAAGUUGCCCCCUGCUCCGUUUACUCCGUCUAUUUUAAUGAGGAAGCGAUGGAUGAGACAAGAAUUGAUAAAGAGUAUGAUGUUUGUGAUUGGUGUUUCUUGACUGGUUAUGAAUCUGAUGACUCAGAUUGGUCUAUUGUGUUGUUAGAACCUCUUGGUUCUGAUUUUGAAAGCAAUGAUAAUGGUGAUGAGAGUGAUUCUGGUGAUCAUAGUUUUGCUAUUUUGGUUUCUUGUUUUUCACAUGGUGGCAAGGAGGUUGAAAGCUCAAACAAUGUGCAAUUUGAAUGACGUUUUACGAUUUCAAUGAGGUAUUUGCCUAUUUUCAAAUUUCAGAAGGGUAUUUGACAAAUUUUGAAAUUUCAGGGGGGUAUUUGGCAUUCUGCUCACAAAUAAAACCUCUCGUUUAGAGUAGAGUUAUAAGUCGCCACCACAGGUUACAACUCAUAUCAGUGGGUCAUAGCCUUUCAAAAACAAAUUGACUUAAAUGCAGUUUUACCCCCUCUAUNNNNNNNNNNNNNNNNNNNNNNNNNNNNNNNNNNNNNNNNNNNNNNNNNNNNNNNNNNNNNNUAUAAUUCUUUGGAUUUUGCCCCCCUAUAUACUACAAGAAAAUCCGGGAUUAGCUAUGACGGCCUUUGUAGCUAAUUAGUAGCUAUAUUAUUCUAGUAAAACAUCAAUGUUGUCCAAGACACUACAUUUCGACAUAUCAUGACCGCAAAACAACAUAUAUAUGUCUCGUUAAAAACCUUAUAAGAAAACAAGCGCAGAACAAACAACAUCCAAAAGAAAAAUCUUUUGAAAAACAUCAACAAAAUUAGCAAUAAUCAGGAAAUCAUAAUAACCUAAUGCAGUUAAAUAAAUCAGGGACAAAUGAGAGAAUAUUACCAAACAAAAUCAUUACUUUGUACCUCCAAGGGAAGCAUUUUUGUCUGCACAAUGAUUGUCUUUGUUGUAGAUAUGAGAAACAAUGAAACACAUGUUCUUAGUGAAAUCAACACAAUUCAACCACUUUUUUAAAGAAAUAAUUAAUUGUGUUGAUUUCAAUUAUAAUAAAAUGAAUUUGAAGCCAUUUGGAUCAGUCUGGUGAAGAGUUUGGAUAGUAUGAUAGAAAUCUUAGGUUGGAUCAUCAGCUCCAUUGUAAACAAAAAAUACUAAUAAAAUAAACUUGUUUACUAAAAUGUGCUUCCUAAUGGUAGUUAGUUGAGUUACUUAGUGAAUUGAUUAAUGCAUUAAAUAAUGAUAGUUUAUUGAAAAUGAAAAAGAGAUAAUAAAUGCAUUCUAUUCUAAAGGGGCAAAUAAUUUGAGACAUAGGAAAAACUCAAAAAAGGUAAAGUGAAAUAUAAUUCGAAAAACAACUGGGAAUUGUCUAACCUCUUAAAAAGGUUAAAUAGUGAAGUUUUUUUUUUGUCCGAGUAAAAUAGUAAAGUUUAAAAUAAAAUAAAAAACAAAAAAAAUAAGUCAUCACUAUGUUUGAUCUAGUGGUGAGGGGUUUGAGUAGUACGUUAUAAGUUCUGGGUUCGAUCCCCAGUUCAUUGUAAACAAAAAAAAAAACAAAAAAAAAUGAAGAGAUUUAAUAUUAUAUUAAGGCCAAUUCUUUUGCUAAUGUGUUAAUUAUUGUGGAACGAAUGAAUUAUAUUAUUUUGGUUAUAAAAAUCUCUAUUGGUUAUAAAUAAUUAAUUAUUAAAAAGGUUGAAUAAGAAUAAAAUAAAAUUUGUAAGAAAACUUACUAACCACUUAUAUUUCAGAGGUUUGAUACGGACUCAAAUUGACACUUUUUUUCCGUUAUGAGUAGCAUGAGUGUAGGUCUAUGGUCGUAUAGAGGAUUGUCAAAUUUCAAAUGUAAAUAUUGCCUUCGGUCUUAUAUAUAAUAAAAAAAUUACAUUUUAAAUUCAGUGUGGUGGUUUCAACAAAAAAUAAGAACAAAAGUUUAAGCAGUAGCAAAUUAAGAGAUUGGCAAAGGGUUUAAGGUAGAUGCAUGUUUUUUUUUUAAAAAAAAAUUAUUUAAUAUUCGAUCUAAAGACCGAUUAAUUCAAGAGAACCUCCGUAUUUUUUUUUGUUUACAAAACAAAUAGAUAAAAAGAGUUCUAUAUUGCUUUUAGAGAUUCACCAAACAACAAAAUCUUUGGUCUCACAUGAUAUGAUUUUAUAACUAUAAAUACUUAUUGUGGCGGUGUAGUUAAUAUUUGUUGAAUAUCUUCCAUGUCAACGUACACUACAAACUUGAACUAUACAUGUGCAAUAUAUAUAUUUUGACAAAAACAUGGAUGUCAACGGGGCAUCUAAUUCUAAAAUGUUUAUCAUCUCUGUCAACGAGCGUCCAUGAGUGCGGGUUUGACACUUACCAAACUCACACUCGAAAUCAUCACCCAAACUCAAAUCCAAACCCAAAGACUGUUCGGGUGGCAAAACAACACUCACGUCCACACCCAUUGGGUUCGGGUUUUUUCCACCCAAACCCGCAGCAUAUUUGAAAAUAAUUUGCAAAUUUAAGAAAUUAAAUUCCAACAUAGACUUUGAAUUAAAUUAAAACUAAAAUUAAGGUCUUCUAAGGAAAUUCAAACAUAGACUUUCAAGAAAUUACAACAUAGAUUUUCAAGAAAUUAAAUUACAACUAAAAUUUAAGGUCUUCCAAGGAAAUUGAGGGAGACUAUGGGGAUAAUUAGAUAAUUAUAAAAUAUUUUGGGUGGGUGUAUGGGUUUCGGGUCUGGGUUUGACUGAUACCAAACUCACACCCAUAUUAUCCGGUGUCACCCGAACCCAAACCCAAACUCAAUCAAAUCGGGUUUCGCCUGUUGAUUUGGGUUUGGGUUCGGGUGGGUCUCUCGGGUUUGAGUUUUUUUAUCAUCCCUAAUUUAGUACGAAGGGUUGGUAAACGAAAGACAAGAAUUAGGCAUUAAAACAAUAAUAAAAAGUACAAACACAUAAGGUUUGGUUAGAGCGGAAAUCAGGUUGCAGCUCUGAUAUAAAUUUAAGAGUUAUGAUUCAUUCUUGCUUUUCUUUUCGUGCUAACAAGCAUUUUUCUAAAUGAAUAUAUAUAUAUAUAUGUCAUGUCAUGUUAAAAAUGACUAAAAAUGAGAUGGGUGACUAAUAUUCUAAAAACAUUUAAUUGAAUGCAAAAAAUGAAUUUUAAAAUAUGAAAACUAUUUUUUUCUUCAAUAAAUAAGGGACUAAAACUGUACUUAUUGACAUACAUGCUAAGCAACAGAAACAUAUAUAAAUCUCAUAACGAAGUCAACUAGAGAUAAUGUAUACAACAACAGAAAGUUAUAGGCACAACACGUAUACGAAAACACUUAUUUUUUUAAGAAAAGGAAUUCUCUUUUGACUUUAUAUAUACAAUAUAAUAAUAAAACUAUACCCCGUGCUUUGACAAUUUUUAAUUUAUGUCAAUUAAUAAUUGGAUAUAUAUAAUCAUGAAAUAUUGAAAUUCAUAGCAAAUGUAAAAAUAAUUACACAUUUAAUCAAACAUAACUCGCACUAUUAGAAAAAUUUGACUUUUAUAUCUAUAAUAAUUGUUCUUAUAAGCAUAGUUUAAUUGGUAGAGACUGAAAAUUAAAUCUGAAUUCCGAAUUUUUAACAUAUAUUCACAUUAAAAAGCAAAAUUUUGGUCGCUAACUUACUUGACAAAAAAAAUUCAAUGCUUACAUUCCAACACAAGAAGAUUUUUUAUGAUGCAUUGACAUUUUAAUUAUAAUCAAAUGGUUGAGUAUAUUUUCAUGUUAUUAUAUACUAUGGUAUUGACUUCAUGAGAGCGACUAUUACAGCCAAUGAUACUAUGCUAUUGGACGAUGCAUUGCAACAUUUAUUUUAUUUAUUUAUUGUGUUAGUUAUUUGAAUUUCCAAAAAAUGAGACCUGUUAAUUUAGAGUUCGGUAACAGGACAAAUAAUAUUUGACUAAAAAAAAUCUUGCGGGUAUUAAAUUUAGAUUUACAUGCAUUGCUAGUGUUGAAUGUUAUGUCCUCUGGAAUUCGAACUCCGAUCUUUCCAUUUUAUAACAAGAUAGAUCAUAGACCUACCCUUGUAGAUUAUGAACAAUUUAUAUUAAGAUAAUUCAUUAACCACUUGAAUUUAACCACCUAGAUUGUGGGAUAGUUGGGCACCGACAAAGGUUAUUGUUUUUUCUUGGCAAGCUCUUUUGGGAAGGAUUCCUACGCGGGUGAAUCUUGCUCGUCGAGGAGUAAUUCCUUUGGACGAGCCUUUGUCUUGUAUUUGGUGUGACUCCGCGAGGAAUCGGAGAAUCAUCUCUUUGCUUCUUGCUCUUNNNNNNNNNNNNNNNNNNNNNNNNNNNNNNNNNNNNNNNNNNNNNNNNNNNNNNNNNNNNNNNNNNNNNNNNNNNNNNNNNNNNNNNNNNNNNNNNNNNNNNNNNNNNNNNNNNNNNNNNNNNNNNNNNNNNNNNGGAGAAUCAUCUUAUUGCUUCUUGCUCUUUGGUGUGGGCGGUGUGGUCAAAGGUCUUUAGAUGGUUUGGAGUUUCUACGGCUUUACCCCACUCCAUGCUUUCAAAUUUCAAUAUUUGAGACUUUUAGUGGCUUAUGUUGGAAAAAGAAGCAUGGUUGAAAUGCGGUCAUUUGGACUUUAUGGCGCUCUCGGAAUGAUAGGAUUUUUUUGGGGAGAAUUGUAGAGUUACAAGAGAUGGUGGAUAGAAUUAAGCUUGUUUCUUGGAAAUGGCUUUUGGCAAAAAAGAUUGGUACACCUUGCUUGUUUUAUGAGUGGUGUACGAAUCCUUUUGAUUGUAGAGCUAGAUAGUUUUGGGUAUGAUUUUUUUGAAUUGAGUGGAGUACUAUUUGUACUUUUUCUUUAGAAGUGGAUUGAGUACCACUUGUGUAUUUUUCCAACUCGUUUUUUAUAUAUAAAUAUCAUUUUCCGUUCAAAAAAAAUAAUUUAUUUUAUUUGUUAUAUUAUAGAAGAUAGGGGCAUUUCUAUAAUAAAAUCCCUAGAGACAUGGAAGAUCCCAUGCUUUGAUUUGCAUACCUCAAUAAUUGAUUUAAAUUCUUCCACGUCUGAUAUCUCUUCCACAAUCAAACACAAUAUAUUAAUUAGAAAUUAUUAUUCAUACAAAAAUAUAAUUAAACCAACUAGUAUUGACUUUAUAAGAUCUAUAUAUAGCCCAAGCUAGAGACAUAUUAGUAUUGCAACAAAAGCUAGAAAGUGAACUCAUACAUACACUAGAAGAAGGAAACUGAAAAUGAGGUGCAAUCAUGUGCGUUUGAAUUGUGGCAUUACAAUGCCUCUCAUUGGAUUUGGUACUUACUCCUACCCAAAUGAUAAGAAGAAAACACAAAUUGCUGUCCACAAUGCCCUUGAGGUACUAAACUUAAUCAUAUAGUAUAGGUAUAUAGAUAGAUACUCUCCCUAGUCUCGUAUAUCAGUAAAUUUUCACUUUUUAGGUUUAUUCAAUUAUUAAUAUAUUUAAAAAGUGAAAAUUUAUUUUUUAGGUUCAUUCAAUUAUUAAAAUACUUCGUUCAAUCUUAAAUUAUUAUAAGUAAAAAGGUACAUGUAUAUAUAGUCUAAUUUUGGAAAGAAAAAAAUGUAUCUUUUUUAUUUAUAUUUAAAAUCAGAGAAAGUAUUAAUCAUCUAAUUUUUAUUCGUCGAUUGAGAUUGAGUGACUUCGUUUGUUUUUCUAAUAAAAUAUGUAUAUGUGCAGGUGGGUUAUAGGCAUUUUGAUACAGCAAAAAUUUAUGGUUCUGAGCCAGCAUUGGGCAAAGCUUUAAAUGAGGCAAUAUAUAUGGGAGAAAUAGUUAGAGAAGAGAUUUUCUUGACAUCCAAAUUGUGGGGGAGUGAUCACCAUGAUCCUAUUUCUGCAUUGAAACAUACUCUAGAGUAAGUAACUAUAGAAAUUAUUAAGCAAAAUGUGAAUUGUAUAGAUUGACUUAAUUAUAACCAAGUAAUUUACUUGUACGAUAUUUGGUUGAUAAAAGAUUAUUUUGGUAAUUUAGAUAAUUUGUGUAGAGGAUAAAAAGUUGUCUCGUGGUUCAGUGGGAGACAAAAAUUUCAUAUUUUGUCCCGUCUUUUGGCUCCCAAUUUGUUCAGUCUUAGAAACAGUUUUAAAAUCAAACAUAGUACAGCUGAAGUUGUUUUGUCCAGACUCUUAUUUUUUAGCAUAUCAAACAUACAUUAAAAUUGUUAUAGCUAUGUAGACAAAAAAUAAAUUUUAAACACUCCCAUUUAUCUUAAUCCUUUGUCAUUUAAUUGUUUUUCUAAAAUAAAAUCUCAUGGAAUCACUACAAAAAAUAUUAAAAAAAUUGUGGCUUUAAUUUUAGGUUAUGGCAACAUAUGAAAGAAUCUUUAAAUAAAAAACUUUGGCAACAUUUUUAAAAGUGUGAUCUUGAAACAUGUUACCUAUUGUGUGACAGAAUCUUUUUGAUAUUGCAGCUAAUUAAUUACAUAAAAAAUAAGUUAUUGAAAAACUAAUAUUGAUUUUAUUAUUUUAUUUCUACUUGAAUGCAAAAACAGGAAUCUAGACAUGGAAUAUCUGGAUAUGUACCUAGUGCACUGGCCAGUAAAGUUAAAACCAUGGGUUAAUUACCCUAUUCCUAAUGAAGAUGACUUUGAAAAUUUGGAUCUUGAGACAACAUGGACAGGGAUGGAAAAAUGUCUUGAAAUGGGGUUAUGUAGGUCCAUUGGAGUUAGUAAUUUCUCUAGCAACAAAAUUGAAUGGCUACUAGAUUUUGCUAAUACACCUCCAGUUGUUAACCAGGUAAUUAUUUGGAAAAAAGAGAUAGCCACAUUUAUUUUAAUAUCCUAUUUUCUUUAGACACUUUUUUUUUUCAAACAUUUUAUUGAUCAAAAUUUCACUCUAUUUAUUGUCAACAAAAAAAAAAUUCACUCUAUUUUAGUGAUUAAUAUUUUUUUUGUCAAAUGCGUGAAAAAUUAUGAGUUUAAAUUACGACUCCUACAUAUAAAAAAAUUCAUAUUAAUUGAUUUAUGCUUACAAGUCGAGAAUCUUUCAAAACUUUUCUUAUUGACUUAAAUAAGACUUUAUAUAAGACUCAUUCAAAAAUGUAAGUAGAUACUAUCUCUAGUUUUUUAUAUAAAGAAAACGAGAUGUAUAUUUGACUCAAUUUUUUUUUUCUUUUGUAUAAAUUGAAUAUCCUCUACGCGUAACUGCAACGACUAAUCCCUCAAGUCUUAUGAAACUCAAAUGAGUGAUAAACUUUUUCUAAGAGUUUUAAUACUGCUGCAUAUAUAAGUCAAGAAUCGAACCUAAAACAUUUAUUAAAUUAGAAGAGACUCAUCUAAUUGAUAUUGAGGAGCACUUGUACGCUAUUUAUUCACAUUAUUAGAAUGAAUUAAUUUUCAACAAGUUAUUAUAUAUCUUGGUAUAAUCUUGGUGUGUAUGUAUACUUAGGUGGAAAUGCAUCCAAUGUGGAGGCAAAGAAAGUUAAGAAGGACAUGUGGAGAGCAUAAAAUCCAUGUAAGCGCCUAUUCACCACUUGGUGGGCCAGGAAAUGCAUGGGGAUCUACAGCUGUUGUUAAUCAUCCAAUUAUCCAAUCAAUUGCUCUCAAACACAAUGCAACACCAGCACAGGUAAUUAAAAAUUAAGUCCAAAGUAUUAUUUUAAAUCUUUUUUGUCUUUAACACUUAAGCUUCCAAUAGAAAAUGAGUCAUAGACUUGGUAAAAAUAAUAGGGUAUAACUGAUAAGUUAGUUUAUAAUGAAUGAGUUUAAUUAUAGCGAAUAUUUUUUAGCUUAUAGUGAAUAAUUUAGCUAAUUGAAUUUGUAGUGUUUUAUAAAAUUAGCGGUUUAAUUAGCUUAUAAUUAUGAAAUGACAUAAACAAGAUAUGUUAAAUUAACAUUUACUUUUUUUUUAUGAUGGCAAGGAUAAAAUUGGAAGAAAAAAUGAUAAGCUAUAAGCUCAUAAACUACUUAAAAUAACAUUUGAAAAAUAAGUUAUAAGCUAGUAAUAUAAGCUACACUAGUGCUAUAAGCUAUUUUUAAAAAAACUGUUAUCAAACAUGUAUUUUUUAGUCAAAUGAACUUAUAAGCUAUAAACUAUCUUAUAUGUCUUUCCACUCGGCUGGAUGAUAGAUAAAAUAUAGAUAAAAAGUGUUUUAGUCAAAGUUUAAAUUUGAAUGUAUCAAGAUGUACUAUUAGUUUUUAAAGUAUUUUUGCAAGUUUUGAAUUUGAACAAAAAAUCUACAAUGACAUGGCAUAAUGACUAAAUACAUUUUAGUAAGUUGACUUUGAUUAUGAUUUUUGAAGGUUGCAUUGAAAUGGGGACUAUCAAAGGGUUCAAGUGUGAUUGUAAAAAGCUUUAGUGAAGAAAGAAUGGAGGAAAAUAUGGGAUCAUUUGAUCUAAACUUGGAUGAUGAAGAUAUCUUGGAGAUUGAUAAAUUGGAUGAAAUGAAGAUUAUGAGAGGGGAAUUUCAUGUUAAUGAAACCACAAGUCCCUACAAAACAAUUGAAGAACUUUGGGAUGAUGAAAUUUGAAGCUCAUAAUUAAUGUUGUAAUUUAUUUACUCCAAAAAAGGAAAAUGAAGAUAAUUAAAGAAAAAUUUCUCUCAACUCAAAAAUUUUUCAAUUUUUUCUAUGUCUAGGAUUCUUCUAUAUAUGCUCAAGAUUGAAAAUCCAAAUGAUGAUUGUUUAGAAUGAUAAAAAUUAAAAAUAAAAAAUAAAAAAUAAAAAAGCAAUUUAUUUUGUAUAACCCCUAAACCAACCUUUGUAUUUUAACCAUCAAUAGUUGCAAAAUAUGAAUUCUAAAAUAGGUUUAUAGGUUGAUAUUUAAAAAAUCAAUUUCAAAAAGAAAAACUAGGGCAUUUUAAAAUCAAAUGGAAACAUUUUUUUUAACACUUCAACUAGUCGAGAGAAUCCUCUAUACUUUAUUACUUUUUGUGCUCUCUUUGUUCCCUAAGCACAUCAGUUAUAAAGCUACCCUAGAUCUUGUUGGAACAAUUUGAUCAUGACACUGACACGCAGACGAAGGUUCAGAACAUUCUUAAGUGAUCAGAAGGUUCUAUUAUAAGAUUAGAAUGAUCGCGCAACGUACUUAUAAUUUUAUUACUUGAAUCACUUAUUUANNNNNNNNNNNNNNNNNNNNNNNNNNNNNNNNNNNNNNNNNNNNNNNNNNNNNNNNNNNNNNNNNNNNNNNNNNNNNNNNNNNNNNNNNNNNNNNNNNNNNNNNNNNNNNNNNNNNNNNNNNNNNNNNNNNNNNNNNNNNNNNNNNNNNNNNNNNNNNNNNNNNNNNNNNNNNNNNNNNNNNNNNNNNNNNNNNNNNNNNNNNNNNNNNNNNNNNNNNNNNNNNNNGGGCACUUUUCGAUAAAUGUACGAGAGGAGAUCCACUCUUCAAGUAAUGCCUGCAAAUAAGAUAAGAAAAGUCUCACUAAAUUAUUUGACUUUUAAAAGCUACAAAUGAUGGAACUUGAUAACAAGAAAUGCAUACUUGACUCAAGUCAUUUCAAGAAAUUCAACCUAUCCUACUCCUGCUGAAGGCAUCAAUCAGUACGGCACUGAGGACCAGUUAUUAUUAUCGACUAUCGAGUAACUACCUAAUUUGGUCCCCCAAAUUAGGAACUCGUAUCAACUUAGUCUCGACUUUUAUCGAUAUUCCAAAAUAGGGCCUGACUUAUCAAAGUAUUAUCAGAUUAAUCCCUUCGUUAGGUUCAAACUGUUGAAUGAUGUGUCACGUUGGCACACAAGUCCUAGUACACAUAGGCACCACUUAAGCUACCUAAGUAACGGAAAAGUCGAAAAUCAAAUUGAUAAACCUAUUUUUAGUUGUCUUCUUCCUCUCUUCUUCCUCCGUUGGGGACUAAGUUGAUACGAGUACCCAAUUCCGACUAUAAAUGUAGGUACCAACCAAUAAACACAACCAUUAUAAUUAUUUCCGUUGACUGAAUUAUAGUUAGUUCCUCGUGCACUAUUGAAAUUUGUAACAUCAAAGAGAUACACGCAGGCACAUGACCUGGCUGUACCCUUGGACAAUAAGGCAUGCUAUGAAUGAGAACAAGAACCGCUUAUGCAUGUAACCGUUACUUCCGAGAAAAUAAAAGAUAAUGAAACAACCUUAUGAUCAAAUUCAGCCAUCUUCAAAACGAUAGGCACAAUUAUUGGUUUCGGGCCUGACUUCUCCUUACUAACAGUUAUUUUUUCUAUCUCCACUUCUGGAAGAGAAGCAUCUGCAUCACAAACUAAUUUUCCAUCAAAACAUUAAACUGAAACCAGUGUUAUCAGUAGCAGAAGACCAAAAAUCCGCUAUGUGAAAUAGCAGAUAGUGUUGCAGGAAAAUAGCGGAAGCCACAUAGAAGUUGAUAUAAGUCAAUUACAUAUAUAAAAAGGCACGCUGCAUACAAAUCAAAAAGUGAACGGAGGCGAAGUAUAGCUUAUAUAUUGAAAGAUUUACUUUAUGACAAUGAAUAUAGGUGUAACGUGCAAAUUCUUUAGUUUUAUUAUUUUUUAAAAUCCUAAAAUUCUACUUUUUUCCGCUAUUUCCACUACAUCAGCCUCCUGAAACUGGAAUAGCGAAACUACGAUGGCGUUGCGGUUUUCAUAGUGGAUUCAUCAAAUUCUGCUAUGGAAUAGCGGUAUCGCCACUAUUUGACAACACUGAUUGAAACAAGUGUCAUGCUCAUGCAUAUUAUGGUUUAUCUCUUAGUACUUACUGUUUAUUUCUUCUUUUUUUUUUGGUGAUACUUACUGUUUAUUUCUUAGUACGGAACUAAACAACGUUAAAAUGUCAAAUAAUAGACACUAUUAGACUAACCUUUAUGUUCGGUGUUGUUUCCAUCUAGUCCCACGGUUGACAUGGAAUUUGAUACUGUAUCCACAAUGUUAUCAUUUACUCCCUCAUUCGAGCUCAAAAUCUUGGGAUCACUACUCGGCUCAUCGCCACUACCAACAUUAAUAUUUUGUGUGUUUAUUGCAGAAUUAUCAUCCAAUUCCGCAGACACUGGAUUUAUUUCUUUAUUUCCUGUAUUUACAGCAGAAGGUGUUUUGUUCUCAUCCUCCACUAAAUAAAUGCUAGGAUCCAAAUGUAUUCCCUGUCAAUACGAAAAUAAUAAAAAGAAAGAAAAUGAGCUCCCAAAUGUAUUCACUGACAUAUGAAACCAACAUUUUUCUUUUCAAUAUUUGUGCAUAUUGUUAGAGCAUAUUUUUGUAUUUAUAAAUGAAAUAUUAUUAGAGCUAAAGUGUGUAUAUUGAAGACACCAAAACGGACCGGAGGAGACAAGAGCAUCACAAUUCAUUAAUGAUGGAAUAAUUAACAAAUCACGAGAUUGGUUCACAGCUCAGCACACAGAAAGAGCAUAACAAGUUUGAAAUCGAUGGACAAUACAAAUCACGAGGUUCAAAUCUAUUAAAGUGGGAAGUGUGGUGGGAUUAGGUUCCCCUCGUUAGAGCUAGUUUCAGCUCGGUAAAGCUAGGUUUCAGCUAGUUGGGCUCAUUCACCUCAUUGGCUCUAUAAUGUUCAUGUUUUCUAGUUCAAGAUUUCAUUUACACUGGGAGCUGAAGUUGAGACUAACUACAACAUCAUUUACACUGGGUUUUAAAAAAAUACGGAACCACUGUCAUUUUACUUUUAGGCAUACCUUUGUGAAAAUAAACAUCAUGUUGUAAACUCGUUCAAUCCUUUGUGAAAAUAAACAUUAUGUUAUAAACUCGUUUAAAUGUUUCAGAAUAAUUGAAUUUUUAAGAUUUUGAACUGAGCACGUAUAGACUAAACCACCAAAUCCAACUUCUGGACGGAGAAAAAGAAACAAAACAGAAAGCGGAGAACAGAAAUGGAAGAGAAAAAACGGAGAUUUAAUAACAUAGGUAACCAAUUGGUAGCUUACAAAAUAUCAUAAAUUUCUAAAGUGACCACCACAUACCAAAUCCACGUUGUGUUAUACGCAACUUCCCUUUGCAACGAACUUUUUGGGAUACUUGGUGAGCAUAUGUUGUAUCCUACGCUUUGGAUCAUUUUUAUGGUUUUCUUUUUGGGUGACGAUUCAGGGAUAAGCACUUAAUUAAGUUGUUUGUCCAAACAAGUCUUAAAAACUGAAAGGAAAUAUAUAUAGGAAAUACAUGGCCAUACAUACCUCAAUUAUAAUUGGUUUUCCGUCUUUCAUUGCCUUUUUCAAAUCACCGCCCAAACCUACAAACCAAAUGUCCAAAUAACAGGUGAACACAAACAGUGAAGCAAACUAUAAAGAAAACAAAAUAUUUGUAGCAUUCUUACAAAAAUGGAUUAUUCAAUACAAUUUAUAAUAUGAUAAAGAUCUCAAGCUAGAAAGAACUUUGAAAACCUUUACGAACAACCCUGCAUUCUCUGCAAAAUUCAGUUAUUAACUCCUCUGAUGAAUUGAAGUCCCGAGCCCAAACAGGAGUUGAAGCCAAUGGUGCACUAUAUCAGAUACAAGCAAAUAAUUGGUCAGAUUUCAUUUGUAAACGUAUACGAGUAAUAAUCACGCUGGUGAACAAUGAACUACACAAUUUGAAUGUAUACUGUAAGCUAGAGCACCAUUAGAACAUUACCAACAUUGACUAUACUAUAAGAAUCCAACAAUAAUAUUGCAGUAACGAACAUAUAUUUUCUAAGCAAUAAUAUAUACAGACAGACGGACAAUCAGGUUGAUGCCGAUGAAUAUAAUUUCAGGCCAAACCAUGAGUAUCCUUAUUAGCAUGGUCUGCUUAUGAUAAAUUUUCUUGAAUAAAUACUUGUUUUGUCUAAUAGAACUAUCAAUUAAAGCAAAAAAAUUAGUAAACUUCAUGAAGAAAUAAAGAAGUUCAGGACAUACUCUGUUGAUGUGCGCAACAAUUCGUAAACCAUAUCUGUCUGUCAGAUUCAAAAUUAAAAACCAAAACAUUAAAAUCAUUUGCAAAUAAAAAAAAAACAUCAAAAUAAAGUAUAGGGAUAACUCCUACUAUAUGCAUAUUAACUAGGAAAAAAUAAUUCAGUCUAGUUAGAGACAUCAAAAUGGAAAUGUUAUAAAUUGUUCAGUCUAUAAGUUGUUUCUAAAAAUAACUUAAGUGUAAUUGAAACGUUAUAUGAUCGUCUAUCAUGUUAUUCUUUCAAUAUUUUUAAAAUCUCAAAUAGACUUUGCCCUCUAAAACCCUUCAAAACCCUCGAUCCAAACAUAUCUUAAUUGAACUAUUUCUUACUUUAUAUGAUAAGAAGAUGCAGAUACAAUAAUAGAGACAUUCAAUGCCUACCUGUAAUACGUUUGGCAAAUUAAGUCUUUGUGCCAGCUGAGUUGCAAUAGUAGACUUUCCGACACAAGCAGUUCCACAGACAAGGAUCACUAGUGGAACUCUUUGAUGGUGAAACCUGGAUGAAUGGUGGAAGCAGGAAAAUGAAGCCUAAUCAAUAAUUAUUACUAUAAAAGGUAUCGCUCUCAAGUAAUUUCUUUUUAUUUUCAGCAUUUUAUUUAUUUUCAUAAAACUUGAUUGAUGCUUUUUCUUCAACAUCUUAUUAGAAGUGCUACAACGAUAGGAAAAAUAUGUACACAUAUAGAAAUUUUACAUAUGAAAGAUUUGUAUACUUGUGAAUAAACAGAUGCAAAUUUAAUAUAUGUUUAGAUGUCUGUGAAGACGAAAUAUCUAAUAUAUGCACAUAUGUUUGCAUACAUAUAUCGUAUAGGUGGAAUAUACAGAUUAUAAAUUAUACAUACUUUGUCAUCAUCUUAUAGCGAUUAAUGUACUCUUCUCCAUAUCCUCGCCGCUCCAUAAGCUGCACAUACAGUAUUAGUAUUAAUUAGUAUUUUAAUAAUUAAAUCCCAUCCCCUACCCCUAUUUAAAGAUAAGAAAAAUGCGGCUGAGUGUAUGUCGACAAAUCAAACUAAAACUUUGGCAUACCUUAAAUAGGUUGGCUUCCAAAUCAGACUGAGAUCUGCAGCGUAAAACCGCAGUGAAAGAGAGUUGUUAACUAAAUCUAUUAAAAUCAAGGUCAAAGAAAGAAAGAAAAAAAAAGAGAAAAGGUAAAUGAGGAAUAGAUGGGAUAUAGCAUACACAUCUAGAAGGCUGUUGUCUAUUAGAAGCUUCUUCAGUUCAAGAGCAAUUUUGAUAGCUACAUGGUUUGGAAUCUGAAAUAACAACAAGCUAACAAUGUAUAAGAUUGAGAAUGAAAUCAAAGUAUAAUCUAAAAGAUAUUAAAAUAUGAAAGGAAAAUAAGUGACAUAAACAGCAAGCAUUUGUUACUUAUGAUUCAUUCCUCUAAAGUGAGUAGUUAGUAAAGUGAGAAAAUUGACGGUUGAUAUUUAAUCAUCCAUAUGUUAAGCAUAUAGUAUCAACCAUUGAUUUGUUUAUCAACAAUUGAUAAUAUUACUCACUUUACUUUCUAAAGUGAAUUAUUCACUUUAGAGGAGCCUUAUCCUGCGACUUAGCAGUCAUAUAACUCCAGUCUUUGAAAGUUAAAACAUAUAGCUAUAUGUUCCCGUUGCAUUAACAUAUCAUAAACACAACCAUUGUUUUCAGCUUCCCCGUAGACAUUUGAGAAAGAAAAAAAAUAUUUUCCCCCAAACAAAAAAGACCUAAAACAACCAUGCUAAUCCUAAUCAUAAUCAUAAUCAUAACCAUCUAGGGUGCACAAGUGAGAUAAGUCUUUCACCAUAUACAGGUUUGUUUUAACUAUUGGAUCAAUAAAUCUCACCAUUGGAUCAAAUGAGAUGUGAUGUGACAUAUUGAUACAAUGGUGAAAACAAACUUGUGCAGAGUGAAAGACUUAUCUCACUUGUGCAUGUCAGACAAAGCCUGUAAACUAACACUAACAUUCCAUGAAAAUCAACUAUUUUAUACAUCACCCCAUUUUUGUAAUUGCAUUUCAAAAUUGUUGACAUGUCACAGAAGAAUAUAAGGAUCCUAUUAGAUGUGAAUGUAAAACUAAUUUACACCGAUAGAUAGUGUAUAGCAAAUAAACUCUUCCAAAGACAUGAUAGUAAGAUGCGAUUAGAGUUAUGUAUAAAAUGAUUUUGAGUAAACCACCAAAUUGGUUCCUAUCUCUGUAACUCAUUCUCAAAUAGGUGUUUGACUCUUUCAAUACCUCAAAAUAGUACAUCUCUGUCAAAUGUUUCUCAAUUUGGUCCCUGAUUCUACCGAUAUCUCAAAAUAAACCAUGGAUCUUCAUCCUCAAGUGGUUUGUUAUUAUUCUGAUUGAUUCACCUUUGUUAUAUUUAGUUACAUGCAUUCCUCUAUUUCUAAUUCAACAUUCUUAGUUAACAAAGAGACCAAAUUGAGAAAUAUUUGACAGAGACAGUGACUAUUUUGAGAUAUUAAUAGAGUCAGAGACCUCUUUAAGAGCGAGUUACACAGACAGAGAUCAAUUUGGCGGUGUACUCAAAUGAUUUUACACUAUUAGUCCACGAUUAUUAAACUAAAAAAUAACAUGGUAGCAAUUAGCAGCAUGAGUGAAGAACUAUGAAGCACAGACACUACUCGGAUUAGGCAUGUACCGGUAUCCGACACCGACACUUAUGAUUACAUUGAAUUAUGUCAUUUUUUCAAAUUAUUAUCAUUGUUGACGUGUCGGUGUCUGUGUUGUGUGGUGUCCGUGUCUAUGCUUCAUAGAUAAAGAACAGUUGAAUAAUUUAUACCUUGGUUACAGUUAACAUUCUACUAAGCAAAAAUCUGGAAAGAACAUAGUAAUGAUCCGCAUUAUCACCCAACCACACUUUUACCUACAAAAACAUACAAAACCCAUAAACCAAAAUCAAAUAAAAACAGAAUUUUCAAUAGAAUAUUUGAAAUUGAAACAAACCCAGAUUUGAAAAAAUGCAUAUAAUAAAGAAAAGUUAAGAUUUUUAUGAUACCUUCACAAAAUCAUAUUUGGAAGAAGCGUUACGAGAAGAGAAUCUAACAGAGGGAAAAGAAGGUAAUUGUUUAUCAUCAGUGUCUUCUUCUUCUUCGGCACUGAUGGGGCUUGAUACAUCAAUUUCUUUUCCUUUAUCCUUUUCCUUCUUCAUUGAUGAAUGAUCAAUCAAACCAAUCCUUCUUCUUCCUCUGUAUUGCAAAAAUUAUAUAUUCUGUGAUUCACAUGCUGUUUUUCUUCAAUUUUCCUUUUGUUUUUCAGUAAAAAUGCUUGUGAAAAAAAAAUUAAAAAAAAAAUGUCUUUUUUCCUAUAAACUUUUUUUUUUAUAUUACAUAAUUAUGAGAUGCCGGAUUUGAACCCGAUUCACGAUGUUCGGUCUAAUAAUUUCGGCAUUUUUUGCUAGCACUUGAGCUAGGACUUAUGGAACAUAAAUGUUUUCACUCAAAGAGUUGCACCGUAAAGGUUUUUUAUGUAUACAUCUGACACAUCAUAUGUUUUUAAACACAAUACAUGAUGUAUUGGUAUUUUAUUGGACGUAUGUCCAAAUAAGGUUCACACAUCCCGGAGGUGGGUGACUAAGAAGAAUGGAACCCAUAGGUAUAGAAAGAGCAUAGUUUGUAAUCCAGUCAGCAACUUGGUUUGUCUGCCUAUAUAUAUAUAUAUGAGAAAUUUGAACUUGUGAAUCCCUCGUCUUAAGGCGAUUGAUGAGGGAGAUAAUGGUAGCACAAGGAUGAGAUGGGGGACACCCUUUAUUGAUCAACGCCACAACGACUGAUGAGUCUGACUCUAGAGAAAUGUUCCGGUAACCCUUAUCUCACACCAGUUGAAGAGUAGUUAGGUUACCCCAAAGUUCAGCCAUAAGAACGUACGGUGCACGACCCUAAAUGACACAUUAUUUAUUAUUUAGUAGGGGGUUCACGGUAGGAUUUUGAAUAGUAUUAGAGUCAAAACAAAUUAGUGGUUUCAGUCUUUCCCGAUUGUAGUUGCGAAGAUUCACUUUUUUUUUAAGUGAAUAAGUAGAGUAUUUGGGGUUCGAAUCCCGACUCUUUGUAACGGUGAUUGGAGAAUUCAGUUUCCCUCAACUGUUGUUAAAGUUCUUCCUCGCAUAGACUAUUCGGAUCAUCAUCCCAUAACCAUUUUUCUGAAUGGGAUGCAACAUCAACAAUCUUUGAUUAAAUUCUGGUUUGAGCGAGCAUGGAUGAGUCACCCAACGUACAAAGAUACAUGUUGGUCCGCUUCACAGAGAAAUCAGUAAUAUGGAGAAAGACCUUAUUGAUUGGAAAUAUCAUACCUUUGGUAAUAUUAAACAACGGAAGAGAAAGAUUUUGGCCAGAAUCGGGGGAAUUCAAAGAAGACAACAAACUGGAAAUUCUAAUCAAUUCCUCAAUAGAUUACAAAGCAAUGACAAAGAUAAUGGUGAAUAGGCUUAAGGUUGUAGUGGGUAAUAUCAUCUCUCCGUUCCAAACUGGUUUUGUACCUGGGAGGAACAUUCAUGAAAACAUUGUUAUAGCUCAUGAGAUGUUACACAACAUGGCUAAAAUGAGGGGCAACAAAGGUUUCUUUGUAAUCAAAGUCGAUCUCGCCAAAGCUUAUGAUCGCAUUGAUUGGAGAUUUAUUGAAAAUGUUUUGAAUGAGAUGUCUCUUCUAUACAACAUGAUAAGAUUCAUUUUGGAAUGUGUGACAUCCAUGAAGACUAAUGUGAUGUGGAAUGGUAGUCGAGCAAAUUAUUUUAAGCCGAGAAGAGGUAUUCGACAGGGUGACCCCAUGUCUCUGUACCUUUUUGUUCUUUGUAUGGAUAAACUCUCUCAUCUUGUGACUGAAGAGGUAGAUAAAGGCUUUUGGAUACCAAUGAAAGCAGGGCGAAAUGGGCCUAUUAUUUCACAUCUUAUGUUCGCAGAUGAUUUAUUGCCCUUUGGCCAAGCAACUCACAACACCAUGAAUUCUGUUAUGAACACUCUCACUAAGUUCUGUCAAAUGUCAGGCCAACAAGUUAACCAUACCAAAACGUCCAUAUUUUAUUCGAAUAAUGUUUCUCGCCCUAUUAGAGAUGAUUUGAAUGCAUUAUCAGGUUUUACUGAAGCUUCCUCCCUAGGCAAUUAUUUCGGGGUACAUGCUCUAGGACGUAAACCUCGAAGUAAUGAUUUUUAUUAUUUGAUUGAUAAAUUGAAGAAUAGAUUAGCUGGCUGGAAAGCUAAGCAGCUAUCUAUGGCUGGCCGAAUUACGUUGGCUAAAUCGGUAAUUCAAGCAAUUCUGAUUUAUCCAAUGAUGUCGAUGCAAGUUCCUCGUAGUUUUUUAGAUGAUAUUGAAAAAAUCCAAUGCUCCUUCAUUUGGGGUGACACAGAGAAUGUGAAAAAACUGCAUACCAUUGGGCGGAAUACUAUGAUUUUGCCUAAAUACUUGGGAGGACUUGAUAUUCGUAAUUUGAGAAUUAUGAAUGAUGCUUGUCUUAUGAAGCUUGGAUGGAAUUUAAGAACAAAAAAGGAAAGUCUUUGGACUCAAGUGCUUUGGGGGAAGUAUGUGCGAGAUGGCAAUGCUACUACAGAGCUUGUUGUGAAACUUACUGACUCUAACCUUUGGGAAACCAUUGCUGAUUUGUGGCCUAUAUUGAUAGAGCAUGAAUACUGGGCAGUCGAAAAUCUCGGAGGCAAGUGGUUAGAUGAUAAUACUCGUAUUGGCGAUUUGGUUUCUGUAAUCUCGGAGGAAGCUAGAGGGUGGAAGGUGAGUGAUGUGGUGACAAAUGAAGGAGAAUGGAAUUUUGAUUUAAUCUCUACAACAACACCAGGAGAUGUAAUUAAUAAACUAAGAUCAGUGGUUCCUCCCAGUCAUGAUAAUGAGUUAGAUGUUCAAUUAUGGCCUGGAAAUAGAAUGGGUGUUUUUACUGUUGCUGAGGCAUACAGGAGAUUAGCAGGUUUUCACAUGCAACAGGAAGCUAGGCAGUGGAAACAGGUUUGGCGUAUUGAAGCAACCGAACGUGUCAGAGUUUUUAUAUGGCAAAUUAUGCAUGAUAAAUUGCUCACCAACUGAAGAUUGGCUAAAUGGAAUUUGUGUAGACCUUAUUGUUCGUAUUGUGGCCGGCUUGAAGAGACAACAUUGCAUGUGCUAAGAUAUUGUCCCUUAGCAAACAUAAUUUGGCAGCAUCUUGUAGAUUUUCAUUUUUCAUUGCUUCGUUUCAUCAAUGGAUAGCAAUGAAUAUUUAUAAUGAUAUUGGACAAGCUACAAAUGUCAAAUGGAUCACAGUAUGGCCAUGUUGUUUUUGGAUAUGGAAAUGGAGGAAUUAUCGUGUGCAUGAAACCAACUUCAAGGAAAUAUGGCAAACUUGGUGCUUUAUUCUAAACCAAGUUCAUUCCUAUAAAAUCACGCAGCUAGCAGAGGUAUUUUCAUAUGGAGGAGCUUACCAAAACUGAGAUUCACAUUAGUUGAAAGCCUCCCCGGUGUGAUUGGAUUCGUCUAAAUACUGAUGGUGCUGCCAAAAAGGAGACUGGUAUGACUGGUUGUGGAGGGCUGAUACGUGACUCAAAUGGUCGAUGGGUCGUUGGGUCGUUGGUUUUGCAAAGAAUUUAGGCAACACUAAUGCAUCCAUGGCAGAAUUAUGGGGGUUUUAUGAAGGUUUGAUAUUAGCUAAAAAUAUGGGAGUGCAUCAGCUAGAAGUUCAAUUAGAUUCCUCAAUAGUUGUUGAUAGUAUUCAACAUGGCAGCUUGGCAGGAUAGGGAGUGCCAAAGCAUGGAGCAUUAUUAAAAGAAUCAAACAGUUGCUUGAUCUUAAUUGGAAUGUCCGGAUUAGGGUGUGAGGAAAAAGGUUAGAUCCUUAGGCGUUGCAGGUCGGGUAAUUAUAUAACAACUUUUUAAAUAAAGUACUAUUUUCUAACACUACAUACAUUUGAAGAUGAAUAAAGGGAUACCUGAACAACGAGAGAAUAUUCUCUCCAUUAACUUGAGGGUAAAUUUUAUUUCCAAAUUCUUUGAUUUGGAAAGAGGGAGAAAGGAGAAAAAGUGAAUUCUAAGGGUGGGGUGAUUGGUAAACUUAAGGAACAUGAGAAAAAAUAAAUUGAGAGAAUUCACUCUCCUGAAUGACAAUCAGAAAGUGGACGGAGGUGUAAAACGCAUAAACGUCAAAAAAAACAAAGAAUAUCAGUGGUGUUGUUUUUAUAGAGGGGAAGUGAUCAUAUGAAAGGUAAAAAAUCUUUUUUUAAAAAAAAAUUCUUACAAUUUUUGAGGCUGGUCAUUUCCGUUAUUUAAAAUAAGGUGUUGUAUUUGUGUCUGGUGUGUUUCAAUUUUUGGACACUUCAAAAAAGUGUCGUACACUAUCCGUAUUUGACACAUGUCUGGAGCGGCGACACGCCGUCUGAUUGUCGUGUCGGCGGGUCUAUGUGUAUAUAGUUCACUGCCUCAUUCAACGACAGGUGGAUCCAAACUCUUUAAUAUUAUUAUAGGAUUGGGUUUUGAAAUAAAAAAUAAAAUUAGUUGUUAUUUUUUGGAAGGAUUAUUGAAUUUUGAAAUUAGUUUUUAGAUUCAUAUGAAGAUGAAAGAUUAAUUUUUAUUUGUUGAAAAUCUUGGCGACUCUUUCUACUCUCCCUUUUCUCUUAAUUUUUGUCAAAAUAAAAUUAAAUAUACCGUUAAUGUAAGCUAACAAUUUUUCAAAUUUUUAUUGAAGAUUCGUAUAAAAUUAUUUUACACCAAUACAUUUAUUACAUUAAAAUAAAAUGAAAAGUAGUUGCUUCCAAACAAUACACAAAUAAACCUAAAUCCAUUAGAGUGGGAUGCUACUGCUCCUAAAAUCCAAAUUUCGCAAGAUAUUAAUUCAAAGUAUACCAUUGAACAAAAGCUAUAUGUAUUAUUUGAAGUAAGCCAAAACUCCAACAAAAGGAGCAUUGAUAUAAGUAGUUGGUUCUGAUUGUGAAACGUUAUAUCGUGAGUCUUGAAAAGAAUCAUCAUCUGCUGGUCCUCCAACAAUUGCACCUGUUAGUACAUUCAUAUUAGGUGCUGAUGAUUGAAAAUAUAUGUCUCCGUCACGACACCCCAUAUGUUUUGGAUUCACGUCAAUUGAUGGCAAUAUUGAACCACGAUGGUGUAUCUUCUGAGGAUAUUUUUGUCCGUAGCCUACCAUGUACGACAUUCCUAGUGGAUUGUUUCCUAGAAUAUAGUCAACCUACAACACAUAGAAUUUCGAAAAUCCAUUUCAAAAAUUUAACUACUAGAAAAUGGUACUUUAUUUAAAAAAUUGUUAUAUAUAAUUACCUGGGUUUUUGCAAGAUUAAUGAGAUCAGAUGGUUUAGCAACUACAUUUCCACAUUGUACCUCUUUGUUGUUAGCUUGCAUAUAGCGAGCAUAAACAAUUAACAAAAAAGAAAGUGAUGUUGCAUGUUGUAGAUUACUUGAUCCAACUUUGAAUAGAAGCCCACCUAAUUAAUCACCAUCCAAAACUCAAUUAAAUAUAAUUGUGAGUGAUUUUUUAUUUUGUUUUAUAUAAUAUAUUAGUUUGUACUUCCAAUUUAUGUAAUUUAAAUUUCAACAUGUAUUUUUAUAAUAGCUAUAAAAGUAAGUACAAUUAAUCUCUUACCUUUGGAGUAUGUGACUGAUUUUGUUGGUGAAUUGGGCAACAAAGAGCAUAUAAGAUUGUUUGCAUUAGGAACAAANNNNNNNNNNNNNNNNNNNNNNNNNNNNNNNNNNNNNNNNNNNNNNNNNNNNNNNNNNNNNNNNNNNNNNNNNNNNNNNNNNNNNNNNNNNNNNNNNNNNNNNNNNNNNNNNNNNNNNNNNNNNNNNNNNNNNNNNNNNNNNNNNNNNNNNNNNNNNNNNNNNNNNNNNNNNNNNNNNNNNNNNNNNNNNNNNNNNNNNNNNNNNNNNNNNNNNNNNNNNNNNNNNNNNNNNNNNNNNNNNNNNNNNNNNNNNNNNNNNNNNNNNNNNNNNNNNNNNNNNNNNNNNNNNNNNNNNNNNNNNNNNNNNNNNNNNNNNNNNNNNNNNNNNNNNNNNNNNNNNNNNNNNNNNNNNNNNNNNNNNNNNNNNNNNNNNNNNNNNNNNNNNNNNNNNNNNNNNNNNNNNNNNNNNNNNNNNNNNNNNNNNNNNNNNNNNNNNNNNNNNNNNNNNNNNNNNNNNNNNNNNNNNNNNNNNNNNNNNNNNNNNNNNNNNNNNNNNNNNNNNNNNNNNNNNNNNNNNNNNNNNNNNNNNNNNNNNNNNNNNNNNNNNNNNNNNNNNNNNNNNNNNNNNNNNNNNNNNNNNNNNNNNNNNNNNNNNNNNNNNNNNNNNNNNNNNNNNNNNNNNNNNNNNNNNNNNNNNNNNNNNNNNNNNNNNNNNNNNNNNNNNNNNNNNNNNNNNNNNNNNNNNNNNNNNNNNNNNNNNNNNNNNNNNNNNNNNNNNNNNNNNNNNNNNNNNNNNNNNNNNNNNNNNNNNNNNNNNNNNNNNNNNNNNNNNNNNNNNNNNNNNNNNNNNNNNNNNNNNNNNNNNNNNNNNNNNNNNNNNNNNNNNNNNNNNNNNNNNNNNNNNNNNNNNNNNNNNNNNNNNNNNNNNNNNNNNNNNNNNNNNNNNNNNNNNNNNNNNNNNNNNNNNNNNNNNNNNNNNNNNNNNNNNNNNNNNNNNNNNNNNNNNNNNNNNNNNNNNNNNNNNNNNNNNNNNNNNNNNNNNNNNNNNNNNNNNNNNNNNNNNNNNNNNNNNNNNNNNNNNNNNNNNNNNNNNNAUUCUUCUUAAAAUUUGAGUGUUGACAUGGUGGUGAAAGUUUGUGGGACAAUGGAAUUUGUGUCUCUUGAAUUAGUCGUUCUAUGAGCUGAAUAUUAAGUCUUCAAAAAAAAUUAUUGAGUCAUUUGAAAAUUUUAAAAAUUCAUAAAGUACUUUUAAAUCUUAAAAAUCUAUGUUUUGAAUCCGUUAACAUCUUGUGCUUAAAAUCUUGAUUCUAAAAAGUUUUUUUAAAAAGUCUAUUAAAAAUCUAACAUAAUCUUAAAAUCUUCUGGACUUUUUUGGGCAAAAUUGUCUCUUGAAUUAAUCUCAAUUCAAUAUACCUACCUAAGAUUAUGUUUGGCUCGUCUUCUCUAGACAUAAAAGUUUCUUUAAACCUAAAGUUAAAAUUAAUAGCUUUAAAAAUAAAGCUAAAGUUGUUUGGUGAAUAUUGUUUUAGUAUUUCCAAAACAUUUUUUCUUAAUAUUAAAAUGCGGUUGAUAAAACCAAUAAUGAAUUCGUCCAAAAGCUUGAUUCAUGGCAAUAUACUAGUCUGUGUACCCGUGCGUUGUACGGGACUGUAUUGGUGCUUAGAAUAUUGGUUUUUUAUGGUGUGAGUGAAUCGACAGACUAUAUUUAUUUUAUAACAAUUGAUACAUUACAUUUAGAACAUAACAAUGUUAUAAAAAAAAACUAACAAUUUAAUCAUCUUUAAUUUUAAGCGAGAAAAAAUUUGAUUUUUAAAAAAAAAUAUAAUUUUGUUAUUAAUAUUAGUGGUGUCCAUAUAAAUUAUUGGUUUAUGUUAUUGGUCCAUUAUAUUUAUCAAUAAAGAGAUCUUAUGCAUGCAUCAUGUAAAGUGAACUUUUAGUAAAUAAGACAAAUUAUAUUUUUUUCUCUCUUCUCUUCUCUUCUCCAUAUAUAUCAACGCUCUUGAUGAAUAAUAGUAUAGACCGUAAUUACUAAAAAUAUCUUGUAAAAAGUUUAAAUUAGAAAGAAAAAUCUUGGCUUAAAUGCAAUUUUGGUUCCUCUAUUAAAAUGUGCAAUUUUAGUCCCCCUAUUUUAUUUUACGCAAUUUUGGUCCUCCUAUUUGACAAAAUGCACAAUUUUGAUCUCAUUAUUUUGGUUUGUGCAAUUUUGGUCCCUAUUUUGAAAAAUUUAGAAAUUUGGAACCCCUAUUCGUUUAACAUUUACUUUUGAUGACUUGACAUAUUCUUUAAUUGAUAUAACACAUGAUACAUGUUUAUGUUUAGGAAGAACACAACUUAAAUUUAAUUUUAAUUUCUUAGUUUAUAUCUUUUUUAAUUUAAGAAAUUAUAAAGGGACCAAAAUUGCUCAUUUUUCAAAAUAGGGAGACUAAAAUUAAAAUUACGCAAAACAAAUUAGGGGACCAAAAUUACGCAUUUUGUAAAAUAGGAGGACCAAAACAUCAUUUUAGCCAAAAAUCUUUUAUAAAAUAAAGAGCUCAAAUUGAGAUUAAGAAAGUGAAAGGAUUUGUAAAAAAAAAAGGUAAAUUAUAUACUUUUUGUCCUUUAAGGUUUUAAGUUUUGUUUUGGUUCUUAAAAUUUCUUUUGCCCUUUAAAUUACAAAUGAUCGACAAUUUGGUUUCUUAAAAAAAAAAUCAUUUCAUUUUGGUCAAUAUUAUGUUAUUAAUUUUGAAUACUUUAGUCCCUUAAAUUAUAAAUAUUAAGAUUUUUUGUUUGGCUUUCACCAACAGUUUAAUCUGUUUCGGGAGUUAGUUAUGACAUUAAGUGGUUUCAGCUCCCUCCCGAUCGUAGUUGCGGAGGAUCGAACUGUGAUCCUUCCUAAAGUUCAGCGUCAAUCAUCACUGAACAAAAUAAGAAAGAAAGAAGAAAGAAGUGUAAUGUGGGGUGUUAAAAGGAAUGGGCUUGGCCCAUGUUGACACACGUGAUGUGUGUGUGAUUUAAAGGGAAUUCAAAUCCCCAAAGUGCCUUGUGUGUGCAAAAUAAGAAUUAAGAACAACACAAACUACACUAGCGCUGAGCUAUUUUACCACUCUUUAUCCAUCAUUUCCAUCCCCGUCUUCAUUUCCUAUUUCAGGAGUCUUCUUCCUCCAUCCCCAUGGGUCGCCAGAGUUCCUGCGAAGAUCCAUCAACCUUAAAAUAAGUAUCAAAUUUUUAUUAUUUUCAAUCAAACUAAUUGCAAAAAAAAAUAGUAAAAUUUAAUUAUAAAACAAAUAUAAAACUAAAAUAUUAUUGUGAGUCUUGUGAGAGUAAUAACAUCAUAUAUAAACAAAUGUAUACACAUAUUGUGUGAAAAUAUAAUUAAAAAUAAUUUAUAAAGUACUUAAAUAUACAUUUAUAAAUAUUAUUUUAGUAAAUUAUUUCGGGACGGAGUCUCCGCGGGUCGGAGGAUAAAAUAACGUCUCCAUCCCCAAACCUCUCUCGGGUGAACUUUCUCCUCUAUCGCCAUAGGAAAAAAUUCCCCAUCUUCGAAUCCCAAACGAAGCAAUUCCCGCGAGGAUCCCCAUUUACAGAUGAAAUUGACAUCCCUACUUGUGAGAGAAACAAAGUGCGCGACAACAACCUGCUUUGAGUGAGGAGAUUUGUAUUCAAGUGAUAAUGUGUUGUUUGGUUUGAGCAACAAUAUGAGUACAUUGGUUGAUUUCAACUUAGGUGAUGAUUAUUGUUGUUGUUCCUAGUAUUUACGAGAAGACUAUUUGUGUACCCAUUAUUUAUUUAUAGUCGAAGAUUUAUGUGGCUUGGUCAUGUGAUUUUUCAUUCUCUCACAUGAGAGGAUUUUCAACGUUAAAAUUCUAGUGUCUGGUAUUUACUUUGCUGUUAAUAUUAUUCUGCUCUGGUAUUGGAUUUUUAUGGUUGUCAUUUAAUUGCAUAUGUUGUUGGGAAGAUUAAUUCCGCAUUUUAAAGAGACUCUUGAGUCGUCCACAAAUCCUAGCUCAACUGACAGAAAUGUCGAAAUUGCUAGUGUCGUGUGAGUUUUCAAUGGUUUUGUCAUUUCGUCUAUCAACCCAAAAAAAAAAAGAGAGAGAGAGAGAGAGAGAGAGACUCUUGAGUCUAGUUUUCCCCAACAAAGUGGUAUCUAGAGCUUUGUUGAUUUGUUUUGUGCAAUUUUAAAUGGAGAAAAAAUCAUAGUUGAAUAUGAUUAACCUCAACUCUUCCAAUUACACUCUUUGGAAAACUCAGAUGGAAGACUUGUUAUACACCAACGACUUGUAUGAUCCUAUUGAGGGUGAAACCACUAAAUCGAAGGAUACUUCUAAUACUAAUUGGAAAAGAUGAAUAGAAAAAUAGUUGCUAUUAUCAGAUAGUAGCUCGACUUAAGUGUAUUCUUUAAUGCCUUUAAUUUCACCAAGUACUUGGUAUGUCCUCGUGCUUAGGUAUUUUGUAAUUAUAAUAUCUAACUCUCUCUUUUGUGUAUNNNNNNNNNNNNNNNNNNNNNNNNNNNNNNNNNNNNNNNNNNNNNNNNNNNNNNNNNNNNNNNNNNNNNNNNNNNNNNNNNNNNNNNNNNNNNNNNNNNNNNNNNNNNNNGUCUCUAUUUAUAGAGAAACUUAUGCCAAAUGGUGGAGGGACACAACCCUUGAAAGGUUUUCAAAAUUCAAAUUUGAAUUUCAAAUUAAUCAUUGCAACCUUUCAAAUAUAUUUUGGAAAUUCUCCAACAUUUUUCAUUCUCUCACAUGAGAGGAUUUUCAACGUUAAAAUUCUAGUGUCUGGUAUUUACUUUGCUGUUAGUAUUAUUCUGCUCUGGUAUUGGAUUUUUAUGGUUGUCAUUUAAUUGCAUAUGUUGUUGGGAAGAUUAAUUCCGCAUUUUAAAGAGACUCUUGAGUUGUCCACAAAUCCUAGCUCAACUGACAGAAAUGUCGAAAUUGCUAGUGNNNNNNNNNNNNNNNNNNNNUUUGUCAUUUCGUCUAUCAACCCAAAAAAAAAAAAGAAAGAGAGAGACUCUUGAGUCUAGUUUUCCCCAACAAAGUGGUAUCUAGAGCUUUGUUGAUUUGUUUUGUGCAAUUUUAAAUGGAGAAAAAAUCAUAGCUGAAUAUGAUUAACCUCAGAAGACUUGUUAUACACCAACGACUUGUAUGAUCCUAUUGAGGGUGAAACCACUAAAUCGAAGGAUACUUCUAAUACUAAUUGGAAAAGAUGAAUAGAAAGAUAGUUGCUAUUAUCAGAUAGUAGCUCGACUUAAGUGUAUUCUUUAAUGCCUUUAAUUUCACCAAGUACUUGGUAUGUCCUCGUGCUUAGGUAUUUUGUAAUUAUAAUAUCUAACUCUCUCUUUUGUGUAUGGGUUGGGUCUUUGGGGGCUCAAAUUAUCAUGAUGUGUGUUCUUGAUGUUCGAGUUAGUUGGUAAAGUUUCGCUCUGAUUGUGACACGGGGAAGGGUUCAUAGAGUCUUUUAUUAUGCUUAGUUUAUUUUAAUGGGAAAUGCUAACGAGUGUCCCGGUGCACUCUUUAAGACCUUAAAUAGUAAGUUUUAUAGAUGGAAUAUUAAAAAUAGGUAGUAGCUUAAAACAAUUAUAAUUAUAAGUGUAUUUUCUUUUCUUAUCAAAGAAUAUUACUAGCAAAAUACUAUCUAAAAACACAUUUAGCAAGCCCGUUUGUAGUCCCUAGCACAACUUUCUUCCUUAUUGACCGGGGAAGUUACAAGGAUUUCCUAAAUAAGUUAUUUUUCAGGCAUAAAUUCAUAUACCAGCAACUAAAACACAUGAAGCUCGAUCAAUUUUCUUUAAUGACCAUAUAUUUGAUUCGUAUUGAAUGAAAUGAAUUAAAUUUAUUACAAAUAGCCGCAUCCAACAAUUGCCAUACAUUAGCACGGACGUCUAAGUUAUAUGUUAGUGGCCAUAUAUUUGAUUAGUUUGAAUAAAAUGAAUUAAAUUUCUUACAAAUAGCCGAACCAAACAAAUAGCUGCAUCCAACAACUACGAUAAAGAGCGAUGGACUCACAUUCAACAGUAACAUGGUUAUUACUGUAGAGAUUUAAGUGGGGUUUUUUAAAAAUUAAUCCUCUUAGCGGAACAAUCCCGAUGAACGGAUCUUGAUUAAAUCAUUAAUCACAAAUCAAACACAAACUUAAACACUUUAAGGAUUCAUGUGUUUACCUCUCGAAGGGCAGAUCCUUUGAAGCAGAAACAGUUUCUGAUCACGAACAAAGCAAAAUAGUGAUGUCUCUACUCAGUUCACACGAACAGAACUUCUCCGAUGACCGGUGCUAGCCAAUUCCAACGGAGAUUCAGAGAGAAUAGGGUUUGGAGAGCGGCGGCUAAGUUUCUAACUUUGUGAAUUAGGUUAAGCUUUCAAAACUUCACCACAAGGGUUCUAUUUAUAGAACCACUUGUGUGGUCAUCAAGCCAAGCACUUAAAUACAUUGUACCUUACGGUGGAACGCAUUUCUCUAUUUUCAUAAAUUAAAUAAUAAGUCAUACUUAAUUAUUUAAUUACUAAUAAGUCCUACUUAUUAUUUUAUAAAUAAGUCUUACUUAUUUAUUUCUCUCAUCUAUUUGUCCUUUGUGUAUGACCCUAUAGGUUCUCGUGACGUUAGCAAUAAUAUUAAAUCACAUAUUUAAUAUUAUAAACAGUGAACGGUAUCUAGCAUCACAUCACUGCUACCCAAGUGACAAAAUGUCAUGUGAUAAGAUGAAACAUUUAUGUGAUAAUGAUUGUGUGUAUAAUUACCCUUUUGUCCUCAUGUCUAUAUUGAACACAAGACAUAACAUGUCAUCAUUGUCUAGUUCAAUAUUGGGCCCAUAAACAUUUCUCCUGUUAUGUAGGAGGGACAAAUUUCAUCUAAGUCACUCAUGUCCCUUAGCAUGAUUCGUGGAGUACCCAUCAACCAACUUUAUGGUCAUCCUGUUACAUACAAUGUUUGAAUGGUGAUAAAGCACUCGACUCCUACAUCUAGGGUACAUAGUGGUUUCAGGUCAAAGGGUGGAAUACACCACUAUUACUAUGAGAAUAUCUUAUGACAUUUUUCAUAACUUUUACUAUGUAGUAUUCUCAUGGCGAGUCAAUCCAAUAUAAAUAUUACGCCUAAUAUUUAUAUCUAUGUGAAAACUUGAUAUCUCAUAUCCAUGACUNNNNNNNNNNNNNNNNNNNNNNNNNNNNNNNNNNNNNNNNNNNNNNNNNNNNNNNNNNNNNNNNNNNNNNNNNNNNNNNNNNNNNNNNNNNNNNNNNNNNNNNNNNNNNNNNNNNNNNNNNNNNNNNNNNNNNNNNNNNNNNNNNNNNNNNNNNNNNNNNNNNNNNNNNNNNNNNNNNNNNNNNNNNNNNNNNNNNNNNNNNNNNAUCUAUGUGAAAAAUCACUUAUUUAGAUUGAAAACAACAAGAAAAAAGAUGAAGAGGGNNNNNNNNNNNNNNNNNNNNGAUUUUAGGCCAAAUAUGACCUAAAAUCACCCCUAACUAGUAGAGGAAGAAGAAACUCAAAGAAAAAGAAAAUAGGGCCGGCUAGAGAAAAAGACCGAAGACUCCACUUGUUCACUUUAGAGAUGAAAUUGCAUCUUAGUAUCAUAUGUUCUCGCCUUGUUAUAUAUAUUAAACAUAUAAAUCAAAGUCAUGAUACAAAAGAAGAUUCUAUCAAAAUAGAUUGACUUUUAGGCUUACUCCAGCAAUUACUUCACUAAACUUUUACAUAAUUACAUCUUCCUUAGUCUGACAAAAGGAAGAAAAAGAAAGAACAAUCUUCCACUGUCAACAUCUAAGCUAAAUGUAAAAAAGUGAUUAUUACACAUUGCUAAUGCUACAAUUUUCACCAUGUCAGUGAAAAUAAUCUGUUUUUAAGAAAAUGCCCAAGUUUUAUAAGAAAACUACUAACAAUGUUAUCAAAUAGAAACUAUAGCGUAACAGAAUAUGAACAAACCGCUAUUGUUCUGCAAUAUGCUAAAGCUAUUGCGGCACUAUAAUGUUGUAACAUAGCAGAAUUUGAACAAACCGCUAUUUUACAUGAUCAACGGUUGACAACACUGACUGCUACAUGGCAAAUUUAAGAGUCAUGUCCUUUUAAAAAAUUUACCACCUUUCUUUCCCAUACUUAUUCCUCUAAGACUUGAUGGAAGAAGUGAUUUGGUAUCUGGCCUCCAUUUCAAUUCUUUGAGAGUGGUAAAUAAGGUUGCAAGUGAAGGAGAGAUUUCACUAUCCUUUAUAUGCUUACAUGAGACUACUCUAAGGCUUUGAAGCUCCUUCCACGAAUGUAUUACAGAUUCCAAACCUUCUGUUGUUAGCAAUGAGCAUCCUUCUACGUAAAGCAAUUUUACGCGCCUGAAAUAAAACAGCAAUCAUCAAUACAUAACUUGCAAAUAAUUUCAGCUGAUUAAAGUCACUUCUAUAUCUUCUUUUGAACUAAAAUUAGCAUAACCACCUUCAAACAAAGACCCAAAAAAGAUAAAGAAAUUUUCAAUUUUAACAACGUUGUCAAUUGCGGAUAGCGGUACAUAGCUGUCUGUUCAAAUUCGACUGUACAACAAUGCUAUGUGCCACUAUAGCCGUUAAUUGACAACAUUUUGCACUACAUAGCAUUAUCACGGAAUGAUAAGGAUUUGUUCAAAUUCCGCUAUGCAUAGGCUGCUAUUAAACAACAUUGAUUUUGAAAGCCACGCGUGAAUUCAGUUAAGUUCACUAUCAACUUGUUGCAACAUUAGGACGAGGAAAAGGAAGAUUCACAAAAAUCACACAUAUUAGAACCACUCCAAUAAUCCUGUGGAAAGGAGCAGGAGCCCCUAGACUAAUCUGUUUUAGGCCGGGAGUUAAGUAAAUCAUGGCCACAAAUUGUUCGCUCAUCAGGGAUCAAACUCGGAUACUGGUCAAAUCCACCCCUUUAGAUGGAGCGCAGUAAAAACUUGCGCCUAAUCUCAUUGUUACACACAUUAGAAUUUGAAUCAAUGGGUUGUCAUUUGUCAAUCAAACAAGAAAAUUAGACAGCAUGUUCUAGAGUAAGGUUCCAUAGUUAGCAUUUAGCAAUUAACAGUAAUUGCAAAAGGAAACAUUACCUGCAAACGGUUGCAAAGCCGAACAGGCCAUUAUCCAAUCCCCAGCAAUCCUGAAUAAUAAUCUCCCUAGCAGCCCUGCAAACAGAAAACAAAGCGGAAACGCUCUUCUUAUCCCGCAACUGACACUUUUGUAAAUGCAACCUUUCAAGUGCAGGACAAGAACCCAAAUACUCUUCGAGUCCCGGAUUCAAAUCAAUCUUCUUACAAGACAUUAACCUCAAUGUCUUCAAAUUCUCACAAUACGAAACUCCAGCCAACCAUCCAUCAUCCAUCCUAUGAUCAGACAAAGUCAACUCCUCCAACAUCUGACAACACUUACCAAUAGCCUUAAUCCCAUCAAAACUACCUUCACAACCACAAAGCUCAAGCUUCACAAGCCUCUUACAACCUUGAGCUAAAAUAGUCAAACCGAUAUCAGAAACAACCGAACCAUAAAAACCAUCAACAUUACCAACCAAUUUCAAAAUCUGCAAAUUUCCACACGCCGCAAUCCCACGCAACACAUUAUCACUACACUUUUGUAAUUCCAAUUCCUGCAAUGUAGGACACUCUUCAGCCACACUAAGCAAACCCAUUUCACUAGCACCAAUCACUUGAACCCUUCUCAAAUUAGGACAAGCAUUAGCCAAAGCACUUAAUCCAUUAUCAAUAACCUCAACAGGAAGCAUAUUCUCCUCACAAAAAAACCAAUUCGGCGAAGACCCAGAAUCAAUAUGCAUAUUCAAAACAUUACUACUCAAAAAAAUAUUCGAACUUUGUGUUAAAAUCAAACACCCAGGAAUCAAAUCAACAUGAUUAAGAUUUGGGAAUCUAUGAAUUAACCUACCAGAUAAAACAAAAUUCCAAUCAAGAAUCCGAAUCGAACGAACCAAUCUACCUUGAAGAUUCAACCAUCUUUUACAAACUAAUGAAUUUGAAUUUCUCUGUGAAUCAGGAAGCUUAGAGAGAAUCUUGAGAAGCAGUUCAUCAGAUAACAAAAGGGUUUGAUCAAUGAUUGAGAAAUUAGGGAUUAAUGUGUUGACAUUAUUGUUGUUUGAUUUUCGAGGUGAUGAAAGAGAUUGAAGUUGUUGCAUUGCAGCAGCAACAACCAUUUGAUUUAAUGGCUUUGAUUUUGUGGUGUGUUUCAGCCAUAAAUCUGACCAUCUUGUUCCUCUUUUCUUCAAUGGUGAAGUUGGAUUAGGGUUAGGGUUCUGAGAAUGAUUAUUCUUCUUCUCAGAAGAAAACGACAUCGUUUUAAUGGUUGUAAUGUUGCAGCAGCGUUGUGUUGUGUUGUGUUCUUUGUUCUAUGUUGUUGUUUUUAUGUUUGUUUAUUUAUUUGUUAUUUUAUUUAAUUAUUUAGUGGAAAUGGAUAAUUGAAUUGAAGUGUUUUUAGGGAAAAAAAACAAACACCAACGGAAAUGUUUGUGGUUUUGAAUAUUUUCCAAUCAUUUUGUGUUGCUUUUUGUUUUCUAGUGAUUGGUUCUUAACGGUAUAGAUUUCCACCUUUCAAAACGGAUCCAAAAAAAAUUCAAUAAAAAUGGAGGGACACUUUUUAUUUUAUUUAUUUAUUUUUUGUGUUUGAUAAUAAAGGAACCAUUGAUGAUGACAUGUGUUGAUGCAGUGUUGUAGGCUUACUUAACGGAUAUAUAAGUAGUUUGAAUUGGUCGUAGGUUGUUGGCUUUUACUAACCACAAGUUUUGACUUAAUGAGGGAAUUUUAAUUUUUUGACAAAUUUUUUUUUUUAACAAGCCAAAAUAAGAUAUAUUAACUAAAUCAGCAUUCCUAGCACAAGAGGUACCGGAAUAGACCACAAGAGUUUACAAGAUAGUCAUACAAUCAAAAACAAAUACAAAAGUCAUACAAGGCCCAAACAAAGUAGAUGAUUAGACCACCAGCUAUGAUAGUUUAAAGCUAACGUAAUACACGUCGACUUCAACCACCUAAAUGAAAACAGCUUGAUCUUAUCCAACAAAAUAUGGGGCAAAUCUGCUGAACCUCUGAACAGACGAUGAUUUCGCUCCGUCCAAAUAACCCAAACACAAGCAAGCCAAAUGAGUUGAAGAAAAGAUCGACACGCUCGAGAUCCACCUGCUAAAGAUGUAAACUGGAUAAAGUGAUCACGCAAAGAAACGAAGUCCACCACGGGAAUGCCGAUCCACGAACGCACUAAAUCCCAAGGAGAACCAGCAAAACCGCAUAAAAUGAAUAAGUGAUGAGCCGACUCAGCCUCACCACAUCCAAAAACACACAAGUGAGUUGUAGAAGAUAAAACCCGUCGAGUAACCAGAUUCACUCUCGUAGGCAACCUGUCACACAAUAACCGCCACGAAAUGAUGGAAACCUUCAACGGAACCUGUGGAUGCCAUAUGAGAUUUUCCGCAACAUCCGUAGAAACCAAAGCAUAUAUCAGGAGCUGGUAUGCCCAGAACUUAGGGUCUGUUUGGCAAGCCAAAAAAGCUAGCUUUUGUCUUAUGGCUUAUAAGCUAAAAGACUUGUUUGGUAACCCUCUUUUAAGUUAGAGCUUUUAGCUUAUUUUACUGACUUAUAGUUUCUUUUUCAGAAACUAUUUCAAGUAGCUUCUGGGCUUAUAGCUUCUAACUUUUCAUUUUUUCUUCCUCUUUUACCCUUAUUAUUUUAACUAAAAUCCAUAUUUACCCUUUAUAAUUUAUUGCCAUUAGCAAUUUAAAAUAAAAUAAGUAAAUGCAUGUUUUAACGUUGAUUCUUUUAAAAUCACAUGUAUAUAGUAUGUUUUACUGUUGCCUUAUUAUCUAUUUUAAAUAUGAAAGCUAAAGCAUAUUAAUUUUUUUAUCAAUUCACAGGUUACCUUACUAUAAUUUUUUUUUUUAAACAACGUACCUUACUAUAAUUAACCAUUAUACUAUAUUGUGAAUAUAUUUUGUUGUUAUUUUCUUGUUGUUAUUUUUUCAUAAAGUAUAUCAAUUGAAAGGAAAAUAAUUUUUUUUAAAAAAAAUCAGCAUAUAAAAAUUAGUUUAAUAAUAAUAUUUGAAGGAUAUAUUUAUUGAAUUAAUAAACUUAAAAUAUUGUAAAAAAAAAUAAACUUAAAAUAUUAAAUUCUUAAGUAUUUUUUUUUAAUAGAAUAAAAUAUUCAUUCAUUCAAAUUGAUAGAUACAUACAUCAGAUACAAGCACAAAUUUAAUGUCGCUAAAAACGUAAAGGAGGAAUCUGCGAACAAACUCACAGCAUCCAAGUUAAUAGCAUAAAACGGCAUGCUUAGGCCUACAAAUAAUGUGACAAAAUAAAAGUAACUGAAAUACCCAUGUCUUCGGAUCUUCAUCGUUGAUGACCUUGUCAUUGAUUGAAUCGGUAGUUGAUCAAAGUUGAUCUGUCAAUCUGAACCAAACGAACGCCGCAAAAAACAGGAAAGCAAACAAGCACCGCACGAAGACGGAGAUCAAACAAACACCGCACGAAGACGGGACGCACUGAGACAAAGAAAUCACAAAAUAAAACAAAAAAAACUCUAAUCUGUGUGAAAUUUCACUUAUUUAAAUAAAAGCAAAUAUAAAACGAUCAAGAGGGGUGAUUUUGGAUCAAAAUUGACCCUAAAUCACCCCUUUUUAGAAGAUAAACAAGAAGAGAAGGCAAAGAUGUGUUAUUAUGCGGCGGCUAGGUUUUUUUAGGUGUGAAAGAACAUUUUUUUGGCUAAAUACAUAAGUUAUUGUUAAAUUCUAAGUAUCUUAAAUAGCAUUAAUUUUAUAAAAAAAAUUAUUGAAUUAAAGAUAUCCUUUUAUGUCAUUUUACAUUUAUCAGUCAGUUGAACCACAAAUUUUACCAAACACUUCAAUUAGCUUAUCAGCUAGAAGCUAUCAACCAUCAGCCAUAAGCUAUUUUUGCCAAACAGAGCCUUAGAAUUUUGGACCACCGUUAGUCCAAAAAUUAGGAAAAAGUGCCAACUUUUAUUUAUUAGUAAAUAAAGUUUGAUAAAAAAUAUUUAAUUUAAAAUUUGAACUAAUAAAUAGCAGUAUAAAAUUUUAAAAAUUUUAUGUAUAUGGAAGUGUCAACUAACUAAGUAGCGAACUCAAUUAUCUACUUAAGCAGUGAGCUCAAUUCGCAAGUAGCAGAAGGAAUAUUUUUUGUAAUUUCAGCGAGCGCGCUAGAAAACCUAGAGGACGAAAAAAGAUCUACAAAUGUUUGUGUUUCUAGAACUAAUUCUUCCUCAUGAACAACGUCAUGAUUUCGUUCCUCCCAAUUGUCUUCAUUAGUCUCAUCAUGCUCCUCUUUAUUACCAUGACUAUGCUCUUGCAGGCUUCUUCUAACCAGUGUUUUAAAAACCGGACCGGACCGGCCGGUCAGACCGGUCGGACCGUGAACCGGAUGGGUCACCGAGUUGGUUCGCUAACUGGACCGGCCAUGUAAUUGAACCGACGUGAACCGGACAAAACCGAAAAAACCGGAAAAACCGGUGAAUCGGCGGUUUUCAAACCCGGCCGGUUUAAAUGCAUGAUUUCAAAAAAAAAAAAAAAACUAAGAACCCAAACCGUUUUGCAGUCAAAACAUGAAGAAUAAAUUAAAUAGAAACCGAACGAAGAAGUGAAGAUUUUAGAUUUAGAAGAAUUUUUCAGUUUUCUAAGAACAAGAACAAUAUAUGAAACUGAACAGAUUUAUAAGAAAUUAAAUAGAAACAAAGGAAGUGAAGAUUGAAAGUGUAACAUAGAUUUAAUCUUGCAAUUUUAGAGUCAAAUUUUUUUUUUUUAUUUCAUGAUGAUCUUAUUACUUCUCAUAAGUAUUAAUGAUGUAUGUCAUGAAAAUAGAAGAGUAAAAAUAGAGAAAGAAGAAGUGAGAUAGAAAGGUGAAGUGAGAUCUGAUGGAGCAGCAGAAGAAUGAGUGGGUAGGCGGCUGGAAGAAAGAAAAGAAGAUUAGGGUUCAGUUCAAUUAGUGGUCUUAUUUUAAGAGAUGGUCAUUGGGUACUUUAGGCCCAUAUAUUAUUUUUGAAACAGAACUCAUAUAUAAUAAUAGUAAGAUGUUUUCUCUCUCCAUCUCCCAUGAAUCUCUUAUACUCCAAUAUUCCAAUUUUGUCCUUGUAAAAAAAUUUGGUUCGCAGAAACCGAAUUUUUACUAGUGCAAAUUCAGAGUAAAAUUCGGGUUUUAGAAACCGAAAUUUAUUUUCAAGACAAAAAAAAAUUAAAAACUUGCUUAACUUUCUUACACCAUCUAUAUUUUUAUUAAAAUAUAUUAGAAAAUAGAAAUAGACCUUAUUAAAAAAAUUAUUUGAAUUUGUAUUUUGUACUAUUUUGUUAUAUGUGUGAUGAUUGAUUAUUUUUAGAAUUUGUAUUUAAAGAAUAAAUUUGUGAAAUUAUGAUAUUCUAAAAUUUUCAUAUUUUUUAGUUUUCAUGAUUUUUUUAGAGACCGAGUCAUCCGGUUUAAUACCUAUAUAAUUUGGUUAAAGAGACCGGUUCAUUCCACCGAUUUAAUCUGGUUUUAUCCGGUUUGUCAUGCGGUUCGACCAGUAGCUCAGUGGUUCGACCAAUGAACCAGUGACCCAGUACCCUCCCCGGUUCGAUGACCGGUCCGGUUUUUAAAACACUGCUUCUAACCAUCUCAGGCAAUUGGUUCAAUCAAGUAUGUGAUCUUAAUCUCUUCUACAUGAUUCUUAUCAACUUAUGUAUUUUCAUGUUCAUUACCUAAAACAUGAGCAAGAAUUACAAGUGUUUCCCUCAAAUGGUCAGAGUUGUUAAACUAACACAACCUUAGAUACCAAAACAUAGUACAAAGGAAAUACGAUUUUGUUAGUGUUUGUAAUAAACUUUGCAUCUUUUGGAAUAAAUAAAAUUGCAUCUUUUGGAAUAUAAAUUCUUUUACAACACUAGUCUCACGUUUUAAUUUCUAACAUCCUAUUUUAAUUUUAUGUAUAAAAACCAACAUAUUUGCUCAAAACAUAAAAGACUUGUAUAAAAAAAAAUAUCAAUAAGACGACAUUUCUUAAUUUAAAAAUUCUAUGACUGGAUUAAACUAAAAACAAGAAAAUAACAUUAUGGACGUCAAAAUCAAAAUCGCAAGAUAUGCAAACUUGAGACCAAAAUUGAGAUUAAACUAAAGAUAUUUUCACCAAUAAAAGAGAAAAAAUGCUUAAAUAGGCAAAAGGCAUAACUUGGAAGUUGGAAAUAACUUUAACUAAUUACAUUAAUUAAAAAUUCUGUAUAUUGCUUCAACAAGCUCUCUCGCACAAAACAAACAUAAAAUACAAUUAGAUAUAAAACAUCAUGAAAUGCAACAACUACAAAUAAUUAGCAGAUGAAGAACCAAAAAAGAUUUCCACAAAUGGACUUCAAGUUGCCAUAAAUAUAUCGAUAAUCACAGGUGAUCAAGAACGGGGAGCUGCCAUUUGCAUCUUCUUUACCCUAUUCCCUGCCUUCACCAAGCUGCACAUGCAAACACAAAAAUACAGUCAAGAUUCUUUUAAACUAUUCUUUUAAUAUUUCUUCUUUUAUAAAAAUAAAUUUAUCCAAACAGAAACUUAAUCAAGUAGUAGUAAUUGAAAUUGCAGGGGUUAAGCUUAAACAGUAGUUAACGUUAAACUUUCUAUCUCCCAUUACUUUUCUCUAGUUCUUAACACCUACCUACUCAAAGUAAUAUUUUAGGUCAACUACUAGUAUUUUUUGGUGUAAGCCGUUUAUCCUCUGCAGGCAACUGCAGAGAUUAAUCGCUCGAGCCUUGUGGGACCCAAAUGGGUGGCAAACUAAGAGUUUUAAUGUUGCUGCAUGCCCAAACUAAAGAUCGAACCCAGAACCUUGGUUAAGCUAGAAGAGACAUGUGUCAUCUCAUCUAAGCGCUUUUGGGUGGUCAGCUACUAGUAUAGUACAACGAGUACAAGCAACACUUAACAAGAAUCCCAAUAUUCUAGCAAUCAACACAACAAAGAAUCAUGUCUACUCUUGAAACCAAUACCUAGUAUCAUGUGGGGUGAUCAAUAUCCACUGGGAUCCUUGUGCCUCGGCAAAAUCUAUCAGAGUGUCCAUGCUAAUUUUUCUGCUUACUGCGUCCUGCAUAUCAAAACCAGUUCCAUAGUAGGAAAAGCUUGUCAAUAAAGAUUUUAGAACUUUGUAUAGUAGAUGCUUAAUUUCAAACAACUAAUUGAUAUCUAGAGAUAAAAUUAAGAAGUGUGCAAACAAAACACAUAAUGAUCUAUUUAGAGUACACAGGAAAAAUUAUAAUGGUGAAUUAUUAGCAGUAAACAGUCAUACCAUAAAGACAUCAAAUUCAUCCAUUGCUCUAAAUGGGGACUCUGUCAUUUCAUGAAGGGCUAAUGCAAAGCACAAAGUUGAAAAAGAUCGCUCUCCACCUAUUUAACAGAAAAUAAAUAAAUAAAUGCACAUAUAUAGACAGAUGUUACGUUACCCUAUAAUUCACAUAGGCUCUAAAGAUAUAAGAUUGUAGAUACUGUUGUUGUCUGGAUAGCAUUUUGUUAUAUCUAUAAUGACUCAUGCUAGCUAUUUGGAUUUUUAUUUUUUCUGAAAUUAAUUUUAUAUGGAUUUUGUGUUCUAUUAUAGCCCUAUAUUGUAAUGCACCCAUAUCCCAUGUCUUAACCGUGCUUUCUGGUUUUCCCUCGAACCCAAAAGUUACAUAAGAACAAAUAAUACAGUUAUCGUUUUCUAAUGUCCCGCUGCUUUGAAACUAAAGGAGACAAAAGAACUAAUAGUUUAUCCUCUGACAGAAAGUAUAAUAUUGUAUUCUAUAAUAAUAACACCACAUCAAACAUUAUGCAACAAACGAACCUGAAAGCCCCCUUGUGUCUCGAACGGCUCUGUUUGAUGCAUCUUGGGGCAUCUGUACCUGUAAACAAAGAAAAAAAUUAAAACAAGUAAACAUUUUAGGUCACACACCUGAAAUGAAACGCAAGAAACAUUUCGCCAAUUUGUAUCUAAUUACCAUAAAAAGAUUGAAAAUAAAAAUAAAAAGUAUCCAAGACAAGGGACAGGAAUUUACCUCAAUCGAUAAGGUCUUCUGCUCAUAAUCCACUUUGAUAACUCCACUGAUCCCCUUCUUUUUCAAAUGGCCAUUAAAUCUGAUCAUGAGGAUAAUUUAAAGAAGUCCAGGUUAAGAAAAAGAAAACAAAAUCCUCUUGACAAUGGAAAACAUAGCAACAAAAAAGAUACAUAUGAAAGGAUUCAUACUUCCAAGAAAGCUGAUGCUUGAGAUUAGUUGCGUUAGUCUGAAACUUUCUCAUCCGAAACUCUAAAGCACUUUGGCAAGCCUUCAAUAAACAAUAAAAUCACCUCAAAAAUGAUGAAUUUGUUACUGUGUAUAAAUCAGAUCUCACAUUCACCUCUAUUUAAAAUAUUGUAUACAAUAAAUGCAAAUUUAUAUGAAUUGCUAAUUGAAAUCUUAAUCUAUGAUUCUGAUCAUAAAUAAUAUAUAUAAAUAUAUGACUUUCAUUCUAACAUUCCCCCUGAAGUUAAAGCUUAUUAAGUGUAGACUUGAGGAAUCACUUUCUCAAUAUUAUUUCAAAAGUAAUUAUAGUACAAUCACUAACCUGUUUAAAUGAACUAUGUUAUACCUAAUGGGGGACUAAUUAACAGGCCAAAUACAAUCUAUGCAAAUAAUUACACAAUUUCAAAUUAUACAUACAACACUCCCAACCCAACUUGCAAGUUAGCUAAAGUUUUCUAUUGGUAAGCCCUUUCAUGCCCAAAAGGAAUGUAGGCGGGAAAGUGGGUUGAUAAAUACACCCUACAUUCCUUCUGGGCAUCAGCAGGCAGAUGUAUGAACAAAGGGUUUACCAACCGAAACAUUCAAUCAACUUGCAAGUCGAGAUUUGAGAAUGAUAAAUAUUUAUUCACCAGCUUGGAAGGGAGGGAUAUAUAUUAUAUUAUGUAAUUAUUUGUAUAGAUUGUAUUCGGCCUGUUAAUUAGGCUCAUUAGGAAUAGCGUAGUCUAUUUGUAAUGUUUCAUGAUUGUACUCUAAAUACUUUUGAAAUAAUACUCACAAUUAUUCCUCAAUUCCACGUAGAGAAUAGAAGCAUUCCAAACUUCCAAAAAUCAGUGAUGAAGACUCAAAUCAGUGAUAUCCGACUUCAAAUAGGGCAUAUUCUAGGAUAACAAUAGUAAAGGCGGAAUUUCCAACAAUUUGUAUUACCUUUCACUCUAAAUGAAAAAUAUUUGGUUGCAAAAUAAUAUAGAAUUAAUUUAAUUUUCCAGAACAAACUACGUGGAAAAAGUCAAGUUUUAUAUGAACACAUAAAAGCACAUUAAUGAUUAUACAUCUAAUACAGAGCUUCAAGCAGGAGUCCUUCGGCUUCAGGUUAAGUGUACAUUAUGCAUAAACCCAUGUAACAAACCAUCACAAAAACAUAAACUUUUGGGAGCAAGCACAUAAACAAUUUUACUAUCGAACAAUAUCCAUAAAAAAUGUAUCAAUGGUAAGAUAACAUAACCAAACAAUACAUACACUCAAUUUCUGUCGAAGGGCUUUGUAAACUUGCUGCCUUCUUAUAAUCUUUCGUUCUUUUUUUUUAUAUAGCAUCCUCAUAUCAUCAAUAGAUUCGGAGUAUCUACAGAGAGAAACAAAAAAUAAUGAAGCAUUAUUCAAUGUGUGAAUAGACUGUGUGUGUGUGUGUGUGUGAGAGAGAGAGAGAGAGAGGGAGAUAGAGAUAGAUAGAUAGAUAGAGAGAGAGAGAGAGAGAGAGCUGCUGCUAGCAUGUAAUCCUAUAAUAAUGUGAAUCAAUAGUCUAGUGUCAUGCCUUUGGCUCUCACGCUUAAGUGUACGAUUUAGAUCUUCUAGUUGGCCACUGAUUUGCUCUGGGGUUUGCCCAUCACAACCUCCUAUCGUAGCAAGUUCAUUCUGACAGCAAAUUACAGAAGCCUUCUCAGCAUUUACCUGCAGUUUCAACCAAGGUUGGUCUCAAUAACUAUAGUUACUACUAUAUCUUCAAUGAUAUAUAAUGCAUAAGAAUUAUCGACCCUUAUACACAGGUUUUAAAAGAACAAUAAGGUCCUUUGGUGUUAUGCUCUUUGUGUGACAGGAUAGAGUAUCCAGCAGGAGAAGAUAUGUUACUUGCCAGGAUACUAGAAUAUUCUAUUUGAACAUUAACACUAUUAAGGGAGUACUUGUAUAGUAGUAUUUGCAAUUAUUUUAUAUUUAUGACAUUUGAUUUGGUUUAAUGUGUGAUUUUGUAUGUUAUGUUGACUUAUGACAUUUUUAAGUGGGAUUUAAUUCUUAAUGGUGUGAAGUUAUGAAUAUUAUAUUAUUUUUCCUUUUAACGUUAUAUGAAAAAAUUAAAAUAAUUAUUACUGGUAUACCCUCAAUCAGACCCUUGAGCCUUGAACCGCACCGGUUCAAUGCUCAGUCUGGUUUUGAUUAGUUGCUCUCAACAGACCAUAUAUUACCUUUGCCUUAAAUCGUAAAAGUGGCAAUGAUGAUCCAUGAUUUAAUCUACAAAAUUAGAUGACUAUGACUAAUAUAAUUCAAAUUGCACCUCACGCCUUUUUGUAAGCUCCAGAUAGUGUUCCUCUGCCUCCUUAAUAUCAUUUAGGACCCUGGUUUUCAUGACAUUAUCAUAAUGAUCCUUCGCCUGUAGUUUUUAAAAGAUAAAUUUAUUAUUUAAGAAAUAAUAGAAAUUAUCAUGUGUUAGCAUUGCACGAGAAUAAAGAAAAGAUACCUUUUUUGCUGCAUCGAUUUCUCUUUCAAUAUCCAUAAGUUCACUCUCAGCUUUCUCAAGGGAAGCAAUUUCAGUAUUCACUGAUUCUACAUUUUUAGGGUACACAAAUGAUUAUGCACCAUACAACAUUUCUACAGUUGAAUCAACAUAACUGCAUAUUAACACACUCAAAGAAUUAACUAGCAAUGCACCAUACCACACAAUUCGUCAAAUUUUACUUCAAGAUCACUUGCUUUUCCCACUGCUUCAUGCCUCCUCUGCUCAAGGCCUUCUAGCAACACCUCCUCUGCUUUUAUUUUUUUGUUUAUUUCCUAGCAUUUAAUUUAAUAAAAAAUUGAUUAAACUCUGUGUUAAUAAAUUAUCACAUUAUGCAGUAGGGACCAGUCAACCAUGUUUCAAAAGGUAUUAGGCAAGAACAAAUCUCAGGGAAGCAAGAUGCUUGCUUUAGACAAAACUGGAAUUCUAGUAGUGUAUCUAUUUAUUUGAUUUUAAUUUCACUCCAUUUACCAGCUUUAUAACUGUGAUGUUCAAUAUAGUUAAUCCUUUUAAUACCCUUAGUAUUAUAUAAAUUCACUAAGAUUUUCACAUGGUUCCAAUUUGAGCGAAAUUCAAAAGCAGUUGCAUGAAUCUACUAUACAAUUCAUUUGUCCAAAUUGAUUGAUCCAAUUACUAGUUUAAAUUCAAUAUAACAAAAUUGGUUAUAUCACAAAUAAAAAAAGUUUUGAUGUGAGGUUGUAUGGUUUCCUUUCCUCUAUGCUCCUCUAUUUUUAUUUUAUUUUUCUUAUCCCCUUCCACCAGAAGUGUAGAGAAAUGGGUAUACGCCUACGAAGUUGAAUUCCACAAUACCAAGCCCCAAUCGUGCGCCCCAAAACAAACAAGCAGAAUACUUUUAGAGUGAAUUAUGGCACAUUGAGCCUUCAAUUGUUUACAAAACUGCUUAUACCAAGUAAUGUGUUGUAAGAGAAUAGAUGAUAGAAAACAUACUGAAAUUUCUUCAACAAUCUCAUCAACUGAGGACAAAGGUGUCAAGUUACGCUCAGCAGCUUGUUGAUUUGUUGCCUCCUCCAAAGCAAGCUUCUUCGAAUUAAAACUUUUUCCAGCAUUAAAACAAAGCCUCUAAAAGAAAAGAAGAAAAAAAUAUUGGAACAAAUACACAUCAACGAAUAUUGGAUAUAUGAAAAUGCAAGAAAUUAAAGUAAAAGAUUCUUUUCUUCAAGCAUGAAACAUAUUUUUAUCUUGUCCCCUUUAAAAUGUCUUUAAUACCAAGGAAUUCAAUAAGUUAAAUUUUAAGGUAUCCCAAUAUAUGUUCUUUUUAAGCUUGUGGUAAUCAUGGUUUUUGCUUUUAUGCAGACAUUAACACAAUGUUUAUUCAAGGCAAUCAUGAAGGCUUUCCUAUUUAUGGAUUUGCAGGCACUCAAGAGCUCCACAAGUUUUUUUACAAAUUUAAUGAAGAAAACAAGGAUUUAGGAGGGUAAAAGAGAAACUAGCUGUAGACUUUGAAAUCAAGGAUCCUAGCCUUGAGAUACUUUCUUGGUAUGAAGGUGGCUCGAUCAAAGAAAGGAACUGUAAUCUCACAACAAAAAUACAUUCUGGAUAUCUAUUUAAAGAAGCAUGAAUGAGUGGUUAUAGGCCAGCUGACACCCCCAUGGACCCUAAUGCAAAUCAUCUUUGGGAGAAAGCAAGUGUUCUUUGAUUAAUAUGAAAUGCAGAGACUAUAUUUAAGUUGACUAAUAUGAAUAAUGGAAAGGGUAUAGUUAUUCAAGUUCCCAGUGAGUAAAGGUGUGAGGAUGAUACAUAGUCGUGCUAGAACAAGAUAGAGCCAAAAGGCUUUAUUUGUUAUUGUUGUGAUAGUCGAUUCGCCACUUCUUUUCAUGAAAACAAAAUCUAAAUAUUAGCUAUAUAGGAAAGUUAUAUUUCAGCCUGGUAAUUGUGCACACAAAUUGUUUAGAAAGAUAAUUUUGAAAACCGCAAAUCACAUAACAAUGGUCUAUAAUCUAAACAAUGUUUCACCUUUAUAGAAUUCAUCUUCUUGUCUAGAUCCUCAAGCUUGAGCUCUGCAUCUUUUUUAUUCCAUUUAUAGUCAUUUGCAGCUUUUUGUUCAUCGGAGGCAUCAUUACUAAAUUUCUCAAUGGCAUCUUCAACAGAACUACUUAGACGACCAUAUCGUUGACUCUUAUUUGGAGGAAGAGUUGUCUGUACUGGACCUCGCGAAAACCUAGAGAUAACUUAGAUUAGAAAACACAAUUCCAAUUUAUGGAUGGAAAAUGCUUAACUGUAUAUAUAAUACCUAGAAAUUUCCAAUGUUUGAGGCUCUAGCCCAUACAAAACUUUUGCAGUGAAUCAACAAAACAGCAGGAAGUAGGAUGUUACAUAUGCUUACAAACAGGUAUUGCAUUUCAACAUGAUAGAAAUUGGACAAGUGAAUAGAAAAUUCAGAGAAAAAUAAUAGUCUUUUAAAUUAUGUUUUUCUAUUCGGAAUUAUACACGUUACACCGGUAUUUAGCUCAAAAUGUUAAGCUCUUUUCACAAGGUUGCACCUAAUUGUCAGAAAGAGGAAAACAAGAUGCAUGUGAGAGAAUUUGUGUUUUUAUUACACACCAAAGAGUAAAAAUACAACUCUUUAACCCCCAUUAUUGAGUAAAGCAAAAAAUGAAGAUGUGUAUGUGAGAAAGGAUGCCCGUCAUGGCAGUGCCAUAGGCUGAAAUAGCAUGUUUAUAAUGGAGGAUAUAUUUUGGCUUUCGCCAUCGACAACACUGAUGAUAAAUGAUAUUCAUAAACGAGAAUGUUUCAAAUGCUUAAUUAAAAUAACAAUACAUAAAUUUUAAAAGCUUAUUUAUUCUACCUUUUUAGGAAAAAAUUAGAACAGGUGUUCAUUAUAUUUUUAGAUGUGCCUGAGUUGUGUUUGAGUAGUGUCGAGGUGUGUCGAAGCAAAGAAAAAAGGGUUCUUUCGGUCACUUGUCCAAGUUGUCAGACACCUGUAAUAAGAGUGUUGGACACGGGUGCAUGUCGGACACAAAAACACGCCUAAUUCUAGUGUGUUUGUGUGUGUAGCGCGGCAACCCAAAUCUAAUCAAGAACCAAUGGAUGCUUUGCAGGUAACCCGUACAAGGCCAACUGAAAAUGGUUUACUACCAAAGUUCCUUGGCAUGAAUGGCAGCCAGGAGCAAUAAUGUAGGACACAUGGAAGGCAAAGUCAACCAGCAUUUACUUACAUUUUACAACCUUCCACAGUGAAGACCUCCUUCAGAUUUUGGAUCCUUUCUUCAAAGGCAACAACCUUCCCAGUAUUAUAGUCGUUAACAAGCACUUGUCUCUCAACAUUUCCCUAGAAAGCAAGAAACAUAUUAGAAAUACUAAUAAAACACUAGAAACUUGGAAGUAUUGCUAUUUUAAUGUUUUGCCAAAUUAUGUUUCUUCUACAGCAGGGAGAUAAAUAAAAUCACAAUAUUAAAAUAGAAAACGCAAAAGUAAAUGAGGAUUUUAAUAUAAGGAAAUCAUCAAGAGAAAGAAAUGGCAACCACGACAAUUUAGGACGACAAGAGAUCGUUCUUGCAAAAUAAAAAUAGGACAAAUAAAAGGAAACCCAAAAAAAAAGAAUAUAUUCAACAAAACAAAGCUACCCAAACUCUAAAGAUUUCCCGAAAACAAACCUAUGGUAUAAAUGCGAUGGGCGGUUCACAUAAAGUACAGGCGAAAAGGAUCUUUUCAUCCAAAGAAACAUCCUCAAAGAACCACCAUAUGAUCUCAUAGGAGCUUAUCAUCCAAAAAAAAAUCCUUAAAGUGAGAAUUACAUCCCANNNNNNNNNNNNNNNNNNNNNNNNNNNNNNNNNNNNNNNNNNNNNNNNNNNNNNNNNNNNNNNNNNNNNNAAAAAAAAAAAGAAUUGCCACAAAUAAUUGGCUUCUUUUACUUCUCCCAAAUUUCAUAAAGCUAGUCAAUAGACACUGAUCCAAGGACGUAGGGCGAAUUCAACACUACCAUAAAAUACCAAACCAAAAAUACAUCCAUAAGGCAACAGCUAUAGAGCAAUGCAAGAAGUAAGAACAAAUGGAUAUUAAUGGUGAUUGAUGAAGAGCUAGAAAAUAUAAUUAAAUAACUUCAUGUUAUGAUACAAGAGUUAAUUAAAAGAGAAUUACUAGUUAAUUAAAAGAAGAUAUCCUACCAGCCCCAAUAUUAAAGAACAAUUAAAAAAAGAAAAGAAAAUCAUCUCAAAGCUCAUAUCUUUUCAAUAAAGCAAAAAAUAAAAGAAAAACUUCUUUGAAAAAGGAUAUUAAAUGCAGUGUAAGCAAUAAUUUUUAAGAAUCACCAGAUCGACUAAGACAUUCAUCACAGUGUGAUUCUCGCAUUGUAAGAUGGAAAACACUGACGGAUGGUUUGUAUUAGGAAGCAUGUGGUGUGGUAUCAUCAACCUAAGCAGAGAAUAAAACAAUUUGAUCACAAUUAGACACAAGAUAUGAAAAAGAACCAAGAAAUUACACAAAAGAGCAUGGUGACACUGACAGGCAGACAAAUAUGGGCCAAAUAAUAUACCUUGGGGUUGAAAAAUCAUAAAUAAUAAUUUGAAGAUGACCAUAGUUUACUUCAUUCGCACAUUGUUUCAAAAGACGAAAAUCCUUGUGAUCAGUCACUAUAAAAGAAUUGAGCAUUCUCCCAAUGGCAUGUUCAACAGCCACCGCCCAUUUAUUACCAUUAAGCAACUUCUGUUAAACCAUAAAAAGCAGUCCCAAUAAUGAUAACAUUUCACAAGGAAAUUAAGUAAUUAACACCAAUCACCCAUUUAUUAAAUUUAGCAACUUCUAUUAAAUUAAAUCAUAAAAAGCCCUACCAAAUACUACUAAGAAGUGACUUUAACUUAGUAUGGAAUGUAAUUGACUAACCAUCUUAGAAAGAUUAAUCAACUAAUGAAAGUUAGAAUUUUUUUUUUUGAAACGGCCAAAGUUAAUAAUUAAUUGUCAGAUUAAAUUUUUUCUUCUUUGUCAAGGUUUGAACCCUACAGACCUCCCACUCCUUUAACCCUUAGCUCAAAUCAGUUGAGCUACCCAACCCACCCAAUGAAAGUUAGAAAUUGAACUUGGAAAUGACAAUAGAGUAUAGACAAAUGAAUAAAUUAGGGAUGGAAAGUGUAAAAGAAGAAGCGGCCCAUACAGUUUAGCAAACACAGCCUAGGAAAAGAGAUAAACAAAAACAAUCUUCAACAUAGAGGCUAUAUAUUGGGUGCAUUUGUUUAAGCUUUAAAAAAAAUUAAUUUGUUUUGAGAAAAUCUAGAGAUUCUUUUUUAGAGAUUUCUGAAAAAAUCUAAAGCUACUUUCCGUCUAUUUACUAUCAUAAAAAUCACUUUUUUUAAAAUGUGAAGUCCGUAAACUUAAGUUCCUUGGUUUUAAAAAAAAAAGAUUCUAGAAAAGCUUAAUCUUAGGAUUAGCUUUUCAUUUUGGGGUUAAAAAUGAUUUUCUAAAAAAUUAUGACAAACACUAUUAAAAUGAUAAAAUAGAUUUUUUUAAGAAAAGAAUAUAUUUUUCCUUUAAAAAAUAAAAAACAAACGCACCCAUUAUCAUCUAACAAAUAAACCCCCUAAAAAUAGUCGUGCGUAUAAUAAAAAAUGAGUGAAAGAAAGAUACACAGAAAAUAAUGUGUUAAAUAUUACAUGAAGGCAUCCUAAACUAUAUUACCAGAUGAGCACCAAUUGGACCAAUGGGAGGCAUCUUAAACCUUUGAUGACAUCUUUCAAUUACACGUAACAGAUUAAUCACUUUAUUUCCUCCAAAAGCCAUGAUCUGCUUCCAAAAAAGAUUGGCAGUGUCAUGAAAGACUCACAACCAGUGUGCAAGGCAUUGUCAUAAUUUGUCAUGGAACAAAGCAAAAUAAACAAACAUAGAAACCAAAACUGCAAGAUUUGCAUACCUUGUUGCUUUGUUGUUGUUUAAUAUUACGAAUAUUAAGCAUGAUUUCAUUAUACUUCUUUUCAUGAUCUCGGAUCUAGUAAAAGCAAAUAAAUUAUAUUAAGUAAUAAACAAACUAUAAAGACUAGAAGAGCUUUCAAAAGGAUAUUGUAAUUAAACUAUGCAAAAAAAAAAACUUUACAUCAAAAGUAUCUUGUGCAUCAUCAGACUAUUAUUCACAAAGUUAAAAAAUUUAAAGUCAAGCAAUAAUGCAGCACAUUAAAUUAACACUGGUUAUGUUGCAUAGGUGAAUUUCCUCAACUUCACACAAAAUACAAAAGUGCCAACUAAAGUUUUUGAAUGAGCCUCAAAGUAUAAUGGUGUACAUUAUUAAAACCCUAGAUAGUAAGAUACUUCUCCAAAACAUUUAAUAAUUUUUGGGAGUGGUAAGGUGGUUUGGAUGUUUGGGGGACUGACACUGACAUAGGGGUUGAAAGUGAUAAGGAAGCCGUGGGUUCAACACCCUGACAAACAAACUAACAACUACCAUUUGUCAUUUUAAAAGAAAAAUACAUAUUUUUCAAAAACAUAAUUUGAAAUAUUUGUGGCCGUUUUGGAGACCACGCAUAUAUUCUCAGAUUCUGAAACAGGAAACAGCUUACUUUUAGGUUGCUGCACUGGUAUUUAUUUAUGUUGUAUUGUUGUAGACUUUAAUACUAUUGGUGCAUAUGUGGAUUUGUUCAGAGUUUAGAGCAAUUCCUUGCACAAUUCAAGACUUGUGAGGUAUAAGAAGACAAAAGACACAAGGCUUUAUAGUUUACGCAGGAUAUGGUGUCAUUUUAUGCUUAUCAAUGUAAGGGGUCGAAUGCAAUAAUUUUGGGUUAAAUAUGUUGUUGCUCCCUAUAAAAUUGGGUCCUUCUGAGUUGGACCCUAUUAAAAUUUAAUGAGCUUUAGUCCUCUAUAUUUUAGAUGUUUGUGAAUAAUCCUUGCUGUUAAAAAUAUGCUGGGAGGAGGAUGACGGAAUGCUGACUGGGUCUUGCCAGGUGGACAUUUUAAUCUACAUGGUUGCAUCCGAGUGGCAAGAGAAUUAGCAAUUACUAUUAGUUUUAUCUUAUUUAUUAUUCACAAUCAUGUUUUAAUUAAUUAAAACACUUAAAUGACAUUAAUUUGUUAUGCAAUAAAUGAAAAAUAAAUUAUUCGAUUAAUCCAAUUAAUAAAAAUAUAUAAACAGGGAUGAUGGCAGUAGAAGAAACAGAGGUGUCUCUUGGACACCCAAUAACCAAACUGAAAAAUAAACUAGGGUUGGCCUUGACGGCAGCUGAACCCAACGAUAAAAAAGGUAGGAUUUCAAACCUUGCCCUGGAUACCAAGUUGAAUAGUUUAGAAUGAUCAACUUGUAUUUCACAAUGAGAUUGUGCAAAUAUAUAUACAGGUGAGAAUCUCUCAAGAAUGGAAAAGUAGAAAAUAAAAGAAACUAUAUUGACGCUAAUAAAUGGAGAAAUAAUCAACAAAAACCAAUGACACAACAGAAGUGUUAUCGCACCUUAUCAUCAAUCAUUUUGGUUUCGUCCUUUAGCCUAAUUUUGUUGUUCAUUAAUGUAGUCUCUUCUUCUCUCAAUCUAGAACAAAAAAAGUAACGUUAGGAAGUGGGACUUCUUCAAAUUCAAGUUAAACACUGAUAUGAAAAGCCACAUAAAUAGAAUCAAAACCUAUCCAAUUCGGCCUUAGCAUCGUGAACCUCAUCUCGAAGCCCCUUGAGUUUUUCCUCCAUGUCAGAUUCUUCAGCCUGCAUUGUUGUGAAAAUAAUAAGCAUAAAAUCUUUUACCUUAAAAAAAAUAAUGGAGCUGUCAUCAUAUAUUAGACAUUUUAUGUCAUGGCUGUGAAAAGAAAGAAAGCAAGUGAAACGGUAUAACAAAUGGGUUGUUUAAGUUGAAAAUGGUAUAUAUAUUAUUCUAAGAAUCUUGUGUUGGGCCUAACUCAACCAUACGAAACCGGCAUUUAAGAUGAGGAUUGCCCCCGCUUUAAACAUAUCUUCAGGCCAUCUCUCAUCCAAUGUGGGACUCUUAACAAAUAUAUUACUAUAUUGUAUUAUAAGCCAUCCAUCACAGUUUUUUCAAUACUAUGUGAACCAAAAAUAGUAAUAUACGGCAUGGUUUUUCAUUGAUGCUAACUGAAGGGAUAUCAUGUAUAAAUAGGAGAAAUAAGGAGGGAAUGGAAAGAGGGCAUUCAGUAUUUUUGAUUUUGUGAGUGAGUUGAGAUAUUAUGUGAAGAGAAAAUCUGUGAGGAGAUUCUAUUCCUAUCUUUUGUUCAAUUUUCAAUAAUAUAUUGCUAUUAUUUUGAUUCCUUCUAUCUUUCUUUUAAUUCAAUUUCUCGAUUCCUUACAAAUUAUCAACUUCUUUGUGAAUUAUUAUGAUCAAUUAGCCAAUAUUGUUAAUAAGCUAUUUUCACUGUCUUCUAGCCGGGGCCCUACUAGAUUAUCAUAAGUAUGUAACAAAUUUGAUGCAUAUGAUAUUGAUAAUGAUAGGCCAACUUGAAAGGGAGUGACAAUACUGUUGAAUCUAAGCUACUGGUGACAAUAAUGCUAAUCAAUAUUCCAUGAAAAUAUUGUAUAGCAACUACAACAAGUUCAACUCAAUGUAUCUUAGGAAGUAAUGAUAGCUUAAUUGUUUCCUUGUUAACUGCAUUUGUUAUUCAUUAUCAUUGUAAUUUCCAUGUAUAUAAAUUAAGCAACGCAUGAACCAUAGUUAUCAAUCGCGCGCGAUCCCAGUGGGAUCUGAGUGGAGCAGCGCAGAGCCCUGCUGGGAAGGGAAGGGUGGGAGCGGCGUAGCUAAGCUUCUCGGCCACUACUGCCGGGUUCUAGGUGGACCGGGGCUGAGCGGGUCGCGGUUUGCCAUCCCGGGUUAGGACUGAGAUUUUAUAUUCAUGGGUUUUAAAGGGUAUUUUUGAAAUCAGACUCAUUCUAGUACGGGUAAAAUUGGUUUUUUACCUUUAAAAUUGUUACUAACCCUUUAACCCUAGCCGCAACUUCAUUCUUUCUCUCACGUAUCGUUCUAUGCGUCUUUUCUCACUCUCACGAUCCAAAGCUUCUCACGCAUUCAAGCUUUCAUCUCUUCGAUCUUCAUCUGCUUUGUUCUGAUUUUUUUUGUUUCUCUAUGUUUCUUCAACCUCUGCUUUUGCUUCUCUGUUUCUACUUCAACCUCUGCUUUCUAUUUUCUGUUUACUCUGUUUCUAUUUUCUCCAAGCUCUGUUUCUUUUUCUUUUUUUUUUGUUCCAAUCUCUCUUUAUUUCUCCAUGCUAUUUUUGUUCUUUUUUUACUUUAUUAAUCUAAGUGUUGGAGACUUGACUUUUGCUUAUUUAUUUUGCUUGACUUUUGUUGGUAAUUUUUAGUUACUUUAUGAUGAAGGUGUUGAAGACUUGAGAUUUGUGUUUAGAAUUUUUUACUUAUGAAUGUUUUAUGGAUUUUGAGAUGUUUGUUUAAUUUUACAUUAAUUAUAUGUUUAUAGUAAUAUUUAUGUAAUUUAUAAAAAAAAUGAAAUAGCGGCAUCCCGGCCCUCCCGCUCCCUGGGAUGCCGCUAUCCCAAUUUUGGGGUUGGCCGCUCCACUCCGCGGUCCGGGAUUAACUACUAUGGCAUGAACGCUGAGCAACUCAAGCACAUUCAGAAAAAUUCUUCCUUCCUAUUUUUCUCACACGCAUAUAUCCAUACACUUAAGGAUUUAGGUAUAUCUGUUUAGUUUAAAUUGGGAAAAGUUUAUCUAUAUAGAAUUGAGUUCGGGGUUUUCUCAAGCAAUUCAGGUGGUUGGAUGAUAAGAAAUCCUCAAACAAGAAGAAAACAAAACAAAAGGAGAGGAACAGAAACAAAGAAAAUUAUAAAACCAAGCAAAAUCACCAUAAAGAUAAUAUAGUGGCAGAUACAUGGAGAAAGGCAAAAGAAGCAUAACUAAAUGUAUCUAUAAUAGGGACUUGUAUAACCUGGGUAUUUUUCACAUGUUGCUCAUGAAUAUCCUGCAUUUGUUGUUCAAGCUGUUUGAGCUGUUGUACCAACUUCUGUAUGUUACUAGUUUUGCAUUUGCACUCUCGCUGAAGUUCAUAUGCUUCUUUUUUUGCCUUCAUUUUUUUUUUUGGGNNNNNNNNNNNNNNNNNNNNNNNNNNNNNNNNNNNNNNNNNNUAGCUACCAAAAUAUUUAAUAUCCAUAAUAAAAAAUAAAAGCACAAUAACAAAAAGGAUUAAAUAUGUUUUUAGUCCCUAUAAAAUCAUGACUUUCCAAGUUCAGUCCAUAAAUAAAUUGUAUUUACUUGUUGUCCCUAUUUGGUUUAACAUCCGUCUGUAUAAAAUUUAAUUUAAAGGUUAAAAAUAUUUUAAACAUAAUGAUAAGAUAUAAGUAAUAUGGACACUAAUCUUAUGAGUUAUGAGAUAAUCUAAGAUUAGAACUAAUCUUACAGGAUAAAGUACAAUAAUCUAACAUAAUAUCAAGAUAUUUCAAGAUACUUUUUUAUAUUCUAACAUAAAACAGAUUUCUCCAUAAGAUUAUCUUUUCUCUCUCUUGGAGUACUGUACUGCAACAUAAAAUAGUCGUAUUACAAAAGAAAAUAAAUCUGACAUAGAUUAAAUAAAAUGACGUGUAUAAGGUGGAAGUUACAAGAGUAAACAAGCAUAAUAAAAACUGGUAAAGAAGAAUUGAAAUANNNNNNNNNNNNNNNNNNNNNNNNNNNNNNNNNNNNNNNNNNNNNNNNNNNNNNNNNNNNNNNNNNNNNNNNNNNNNNNNNNNNNNNNNNNNNNNNNNNNNNNNNNNNNNNNNNNNNNNNNNNNNNNNNNNNNNNNNNNNNNNNNNNNNNNNNNNNNNNNNNNNNNNNNNNNNNNNNNNNNNNNUGAAUACCACAUGAUUUAUUUAACUUUUAUAAAAGUCUUAAUUGAAUACCAUAAGACUUUUUUAUUAUAAAAAAGUCUUUUAAAAUCCUUUGAAAUCUCAAUCCAAUACACCCCCCUAAGUCAUCUAGAUAUUGUUAAAAAGCAUUUUUCAAAAGGGGAGUAGGAGUAAAACCUCCCACCUCCAACAUACCGAUGACAUAGAGCGGCUUAAUAUUUCCUUCGUUUCCUUAACUUUUGAUGUCGUCAUACUUGCAAUUUCAGCUUUCUUCGUAGAAUAGUUUUUACUUAAUUUUUCAAGCUGAUGCUGCAACGAAAUAAGAGUCCCAUUUAACUCUUAAAGAAUAAAAUAUAGGCUGAAAAGAAAGAGUGAAGAUAGCAAUGGCAGAUAAAUAUGUUAGAGUCUACAUAUAAUAGGCGAUCUAUUGCAGAAAUGAAGAAUGACAGCAUCUUCAAGCCAAGCACACAUAAUAACAAUAUAAGCAGCAACCUCUAUAGCACUGUGGUAUAGUAACACAGAAUAAUAUUCUAUAUUAGAUAAACCAAAAGCAAUGCAGGUUGGGCGUGAAACUUCUCCAUCCACAAUCCUUGUGGUAAUAAUGAAGAUGAUACAUCAUAAAAAAUAAGCAAUUAAAUUAUUAAAGUUGACAAUACUGGGAGUUGUUGUCAAAAUGGGCACUAUAAACAGACACCUGAUCAAAUUCACAACUUUCAUUGUAGACCUAACGUGAAGAGAGAGAUGGAGGGGGGGAGAGAGAGANNNNNNNNNNNNNNNNNNNNNNNNGAGAGAGAGAGAGAGAGAGAGAGAGAGAGAGAGAGAGAGACAGAGAGAGAGACAGAGAGAGAGACAGAGAGAGAUGUAAUUGAGUUUGUUGUUAUUUGAAUUUUGAACUGCUUGGCAGUUAUGAAGGGGACAUUCCCUGUGUUGGAAAUAAUAACAAAAACUCAAUUACACUCUCUAUAUUCAAUCUCUAUCUCAGGCUUUCUAGAGUAUACAUGAAAGAUAGGAGGUUUAUAAGAGAUUUUUGGGGUCCUAACAUAAGAUCACAGUAAGGAAUGAUAUUCUCAAACCACGCAGAGAACUUCACAUUGUGAAGACUUAUGAAAACUUCACUUUGAGAAGAUAAUGUAAGUAAACAUACCAGUUGUUUAUCUAUCAUAGCUUGGCAGGUAGGAACCCGACUCUUCAACUUUUCAAUCGUUACAUUUUGUGCCUCAAGUUUCUUGUCCACAUCAUAAACCCAUGACCAUGCAAGUUUCUUUUUUAACUGCUGAACCUGUAUGGAAAUUUGUUCGACGUGUUCCAUCGUUUUAAUUUUAACCUGCAGCUCCUUAAGCUCCUUCUCUACAGGUCUUAUAGCGGCCUCUAAUUCUUCAACUACUCCAAGUGCAGUAUUUAUUUCACUGGAAAUGCUUUCCAGAAGAUCAUUGACUUGCUGAAGAAGUGUCGCCUUGUAAAAGAACUGUUUAAUCAAGUGUUAGCAGAGCUUCUGAAGAAGCUUUAUCAAAAAAAAAAUGAACAUGAAGUAAUCACCUUAAAUUUAUCUUUGUUAUUCCCAGAGUGCAGGAAUUCUCUGCUUUUGUCUUGACUCAUAAUCACACAUGGAUUCUCCACAUCAAUCUGCAAAAUAAAAAGACUAAACAAUAGGUGCAAGAAUGAAGAAAAUCACUUGAAAAGAAAUAAAAGGCAUUGCCAAAGAUUUAUUGCUUAUAAUGUGAACAAAGAGAUAGAAAACUUUGCAUUUUAAUCAUAUAUACACAUCAGAGACCUUCCCAACUUCUCAAAAUAAUUGUUGAUCACUUUUUUUAUGGAACAACAUUAUUAAUCGUGAACUAGGCAAGAGCUCGUUAGUUCUUCAAGUCAUCCAUCUUUAUAAAGAAGUGUUAGAAACCAUGCAUGCAAGUACUACGUUACAGAAGUUACCAAGAAGCAAAGCAGAACAACAAUUUCAGAAUUAAAAAAACAAUGACAUAGCUGAGAGAAAGCAUACAUUGAAAUGUUCAAUGAUUUCCAGAAGAUCUGCUUUCCGACUGAAAACUUUCUUUCCUGCCAUCAAACUCAGAAUGUAAGUGUGUAAAACAUCCUCGACAAUCAUUGCCAGAACUUAUUUUGAGUGUUGUUAAAUUACGGUAAUAUUUAAUUUUGAAAUACCAAAUAUAUUGAACAUAUCAGACAUCUCUGUCAAAAAAAAUAUCAAGAAAGACUUCUAUUUUUUACAAUCAAUAUAGACUUUUUAUCAUUAAAGAAUAAUAGAGAUUGAUAAAGAAAAUUAUUAGAGAAAAAGAAGAGAGACACUGCGUAGGGAUCAGACAGAUAAACCAUUUUGAAUUUCAAAUUCUCUAAUUCAAACCACAACAGAUUCAAACAAUUAACUUAAGAUGGAAUAUAUGAGUACAAGAAAAUCCACCAACAGUGUUAAUUUCAACAUGUUAAACUGCAAUUACAAGGAGUUGCAAAUAUCUGUUUGGAACUCCUUCAAAUUUAUUCAACUUGGGAUCCAGAGUUCAAAUCUUUGUUUACACAAUUAAAUCUCAAACUUUUGUCAUGUAACCGAAGCUAUGUUAAUGUUGUCCUGUCCAUCCCGUGUUGCAGAGUGGGGCGGCCAUCCCCAAAACUGGAAUCGUGGGAUUACGGAUUGCAGAAUGGCCAACAUUAUAAAAUAAUUUUUAUAUUGUUGGAGUUGUGGGAGUUUAGAUAAAAAAAAUGGAGAACAUAAUAAUAACUUAAUACUGAACACCAACCCCUAUAUAUCCCAUACAAGAUUCUAAUCCUAAUUAGGCAAUUCAUGAAAAAAUUCAAGAUAAAAAGUGAUGGAUGAAUUGACAAAUCAUUGCAAACUUCCAACCUAAGUUGUCAAUCUUAAAUAGUGGCAUGCAGCAGCCGACCCCGAAAUUGAGAUUUUGGUAAUAGCAAAUUGAAUGAUGGUUGAUAUUCUGAAUUAUUUUAGACAGUAUAUUACAGAAGACAAUUGGGGGAUUCCCAAAAACAAAACAAAAAAACAGGAUUUUUCACCUAAGAUGAACAUAAAAAAGUGUAGAAAACAGGGGAGAAAUCAGGGUCAACGAAAAAUGAGCAGAAACCAGUCACUGGUCACCAGAAACUUGUGGUUAGAGGCAGGGUAGCACAACGCAGGGGCCGAUUACCAUUACUUCAGAAGAAAGUGAGGGAAAUGGUUCCAAGUUUCAGGUGCUAAGCCCUUACCCUGUGUGAAAUUGAUAGGAACCAAAAUUUAAAGAAGGGUAGAAACUGCUUUAUUGAUUGAAAAUAAAUGUAUUACAAAAGGAAACACCCUGUAACCCCAUGGUAAUAACUCUAAGGUUCAAACUAAAAUUAAGUAAUUAACACUAGGUUAUUACCCCUUGCCAUGCAAUAGGCUCAAAGGUAUGAAAUAAGAACAAUGGGAUCGAAGAUUGAAUUUAUGACUGAGUAUUGAGGAUUAAACCUCUUACAGUGACUGGAAUUUAAGAAACGAUGGAUGGAGUUAGUAUUGCCUUGCAACAAUGGAAACUAACAGAAAAUAAAUGAUAUUCUCAGUGUGAGAAUAUCCCUACUGAGAUGAGAAUGAUUCUCACUCCUCAGUCCCCAACCCCACUUCACAGCCAGUCUGCCUUGCUUCACUUGUGAGGUCGUCUUCUAAUACCUUCCCCUCCUUCUCUCCACUGAUUCCCUCCAUCUUAGUAAAGAUAAGCUCAACUAAAUUGAUUUCCAUAAGCUAUUCUUAGAGGCUUUAAGGAAAUAAACCCAUACGAACAUAUAGCUACUUUUAUGUCAAAAAAUACUUUUAAGAGCUUAAUCAAACACAUCUAAAGUGAUUAAGUCAAAAAAUAUGCUCAAAAUACGCUUCAGAAUAGCUCUUCCAAUUGCCCACACAUUCCCUCACACGAGAUCCAUUUAGGCAUGAAGUGUAUAUAAUGCACAAACAACCUACUUUGUGCUGAAUCAACCUUUUCAUAGAAGAAUAAAGGAAGCAAGUAUCAAACUCUAGGCCGUUUCAGUAUAAAGGCUCUGAUAAGAUGUCCUGAUCCAACCAACUAUCCCAAAAGCUUCAAAUGAAGACACGGUGAUGGAUUUUAUAUAUCACACUUAUGAAAUGUUAAAUCUAGAGAAAUACCAUUGUAACUUUCCAUUGUUUCAAUAGGCCAACAAAUGACAUAUAUCUCAUGAAAAUUAGUUUGUUGUAUACACACCUUGGUGAUCUUUCAAUGUAAUAGAGCUUGUGGAUUCCGAUAUCCUACGUUCUACAAUGAUGACAUCACCAUAUAUUUCAGGCUUGAAAGCAUCCUCUCCUUCAUUUUGAAUUUCAACAUGGAUGACAGCAUUACUACAGAAAGACAAUAGAAUAAAGAACCAUGUAAAAACAUUAUGUUGGUCGUUUAGAUUAUCAAUUCUACCAGAAAUUGUGUGUUUUCUUCUUUCUUACAAUUUAAAACAACAGUAAUAAGUAGUUUUGGCAUAGGACAUUUGAAGAAAACAAGGCAUCCUAGUUUGCUCAUAAUAUUAAUCACUUUGAAAUUUUUAUAAUCUUCGCAAUGAGAGAGAGAGAGAGAGCAAAUGGCAUUUACCUAGCACCAGUUUUGAUGAAAUCUUUCAAAGUAGAUGCUCUUUGAGUCCCUUUAGCUCGACAACCAAAUGCGACACACAACGCAGUAAGGAUUGCACUUUUACCACCUAAAAAUGUCAAAGCCAAACAAACAACAUGGAUUCCUUAGAAAACAAUUUUUACUAUGAAUCAUUUGUCCUAAACACAAUCUCUAGAUUGAAAUUAAAAAGAUCACAUCUCGCAACAAAUCAAACACAACCCCAUUGUAGAAACUUAUUACAAGUGUUGUUUGCUUCAGUGGGUCCCACUAUGGCUAAUCGUUUUAAUCAACUCACUCUAUACACUUACCAAAACUCUCUUAAGAAUCCCAUUACAAUUGCUAGAUUCAUAAACUUACCAAAACUCAAUAAAUCAACAUUACAUUAGCACAUGCAACAGAAAAAUCAUAAAUUUCAACAAAUUACAAAAAACAUAAAUAAAAAAAAAAUCACAAUUUCAAAUGGAAAAAUAAACAAAUAGAGCGGUAAAUUGAAUGCAAUUAUGGAAGAAGAAAAUAACAUACUUCCAUUUUGUCCAGUGAUGAGAUUAACGUGAUUUCCGAAAUCAGUUUCGUGAUUUGAAUGACACAUGAAAUUUUCUAACCGAAGCUUCUUGAUGAUUCCUGCUUCAAGAGAUGGUGAAACCCUAGAAGAACUAGAAUCCCCUGUGCAUCUCGCACGCUUCAUUCUGGAACGUUCUCUUCACGAUUACAGAGAGAGGAAAUAGCGAUGAAUUGGAAAUUUGGAAUGGUGAAAAGAGAAAAAAAAACCCAAAAUUUUGANNNNNUUUUUGGUGUGGCUACGAAAAAAAAAAAAACCUUGUAAAGUGUGUCAAUGGCGGGAAAACUCGUCACAAAUCUUGGGCUAAGUUGGCUUUGGGUUUGUGAUUAGCGAUUUACUUUUGUUUACCUACCAUGGAGCAGUUUACAAAAUUAUCAAAAUACCUCGUCCGUUGUUUAAGUAGUGGAUUUUACGUUUAAAAUCUUGAAAAUUUCAUGGUAGGAGGAUGUUUUUUUUCUCAAAAAUUUGUUAUUUAAGUAGUGGAUGUAUAAAAAUGAGAAAUUUUCAUAUUAUGGGGUGUUUUUUUUUCUCAAAUUUCACAUUUUUAUAA
rnacentral:lncRNA from 1 species